AUCACAUAGAGGCUGUCGUAUGCGUUAUUGAGGAAUCGGAAAUAAGCAUAUCUCCAGGUCUUGAUAAAAAUCAAAGAACCACAUACUGACCAAAAUCCUACGAAAAAACCAAGCACAACAGGAAAUACAAACCAUGGAACCUGAUCCUCACUGUUAUCAUCUCCAUCAAGACCAUCAUUUGGGAGUGGAAGUUGGCAUUCAUUUGGAAGUGGAAACCCACAGAGGUUGGGAUUCCCCUCAAAUGUAGAUGCAUUGAAGCUUAGGAGCUGAGUUCCUGUUGGUAUUAGGCCUUCCAGAUUAUUGUAUGAGACAUUAUAUACUGCCAAGAAAUUAAGGCUUGUUAAUGAUGCUGGUAUAUUUCCAGAGAGAUGAUUUGUGGAGAAUCGAAGGAACUUACACAGACAUGGUGAGAAGACCUUGAAUAAUCAUGAAGAGUUCAACGAAAAGAAAGGUUUGCUUUCCCCACUGGCAGUAGCAGUAGAAUUUCAUCAACAGACUAGAAAGGGAGGCGGAAGGAGGUGGUGACGACGGCGGAGAACUGAGGAGUAGCGGCGGGAGAUGGAGGGGGCGGGAGAAGAGCGAGCUCAGAGAGGUUUAUUUUCCUUUUUUUUUUUUUCUUUUCAAUUUAAAUGGUGGGCCACGUAGCCCGUUAAGGCCCGCAUCACCUGGACAGCCUAGCCCCACGUCACAUCUGCCUAGCCCGCAGGAAUUAUAAAUUAGGCCCAACCCACUCUUCUUUUUUUUUUUAAAUGGUGGACCCCGUAGCCCAUUAUGGCCCACGCAUGGCUGACCGCCUAGCCAUAGCACUUUUUUUCUAGCCCGCAUGAAAUUAUUUUUCUUUUAUAUUUUCUUUUACCUCUUAAAUUCUGGAAUUGGAAUUCCGCAGAGACGAAACAGAGACUAAACAGAAUGAAACCGAAAGACAACGAUAGGAAGAAGAAAAAGAGAGAUCAUGAGAUUGAUGAUGAUUCUGAUUCUGUUUCUGGUGGUGAUCCGCAAGCGGUUGUGCGAGACUUGCUGAAGGAGGUUCCGAAUAUCGGGUGCGAUUUGAAGCAGCUUCUGCAAUUGAUCGAUGGCGGCAAAGCGGUGGACAUAACCGGAAUAUCUCAGAAAUCUUUGAUCAAGCCUCUCAGAGCUCUGUUUCUUUGCUUGAAUCUUAAGGAACUAGAUCACGGAUCUUUUGUGUUGCCUCCACAUGUUCCUCCAACUUUGGAGGUUAUUGGGUCCAUGAUCACGCCUUGUUUAGAUGAUGAAGAUGAUGAUCAUGGUCCUCCUCCUCCUCCUGAGAGAAGGCCAAUUGGGCCGGAGAUGCCGACGCCGGAGCUACUUGCUGCUGUAGCCAAAUUGAGAGAGGCAGAGGCCGAGUUGAGGGAAGCUGAGUUGGAAGAAAAAGGUAAUCGGGUUUUUAUAGGACCUGCACCACGUGUUGUGGCUGCUGAAGGUGAAUCAGCUAGCCAGAGUGAUCGUUUCGAAGAGGUGACAAGGAUCAUGGAAGCAGAGGAUGAUAACCUGUAUGACAUAUUGGGAGCAAACCACAAUGUGUCUGCUGAUAACAUCAAGAAAAGGUACUGGAAGUUGUCGCUUUUGGUGCAUCCUGAUAAAUGCUCACACCCUCAAGCUAGCCAAGCAUUUGUGAAGCUGAACAAGGCGUUUAAGGAGUUACAGGAUCCGGAGAAGCGGAGAGCGCUGGAUGAGAAGAUUGAGCUCAAAGAGAAGCAGGAGAGAUUCAAAAAGAGAAACAUGGCAGGUGAUGUGAGUGUUGUUAAAUCGGCACGAAGAAGAGAUGAGUGGAUGACAGAGCUCCCACCGGAGAGGAAACAUGGUAUGAGUACAAUGCAAUCGACAAUGUUUAGCAGCAAUGCUAAAGAAGGGCGUGGAGAUACUGGUUGUUGGACUGAUGCUCCAUCUGAAAGAGCUCGGAAGGCUAAGAUGGAUUACUUAAAAGCCUAUAAUGAGUUUUCAUCGCUUGCUUCGAAUGAGGAGGAGAGGAAGAGGAGUUUAGAUGCAGAGUUGAUGGACAGAUGUAAUAAAGAGAAACGAUCGAAGUCAUUGUUACAAAAGCACAAAGAGGAGAUUAGAGCGAGCCGUUUGAAGAGGAAGCACUCCAAGCAACAGGUAGAGGAGGAAGACUGGGUGGGGAAACAUCCGUGGAAGCCUUGGGACCGUGAGAAGGAUUUGGCAGGUGGUAGACAAAGUGUGAAACUGGAUUCAGAAGACAUGACUCGAGGUUUGUCAUCAAGGUUUUCUGGAGGAUCAUAUCAAAGGAGCUUUCUCUAGCCAUGAAAUGGCAUGGGUGAGCUUCUUGGUUUUUCCCAGGCUUUAAUUCACAGGUCUUACUUUUUACACUGAAUGAAUGAAUGAUUGAUUGUUUCUUGUGUCAAAUUUACUAUUAAUAUGAGGAAAAGAGUUAGGACAUUUCUAUGUGUUGGGGUGAAAUGUAAAACUUUUUGAUACUAUAUGUCUGUAAAAGCAAGUGUUUCCAAGGAACUGAUAUUCAGUCGAUGUGAAGGUGAUCGUGGUUUCUCUUGAGUAAUGCCUUUUACUGUUCUUGUGUGAAUUGUAUUGAGAAAACACUGGAACUUUGGUUUCUGGAUUUGUUUUUACUUCUGAGCAUUUGAGGAAGCAAACCAUCAAAUAAGCCAUUUUUCUGUGCUGUGGGGGUCUGAUCUUUUUUAGAUGUUAAUAAUAUAGAAAAUCAGUCUAUGAGGUUCUUGAUAGUAUGUAUGGAGCUAGUACAUAAAGGACUUGGAAAGAUUUUGAUUUUCUGGGUACUUGAUGUACAAUUUCUUGCAAGAGAGUAUAGACUUGUGUAGGUGUUUUACAGUUUUACUUGAACCCUUUAUCGCAGAAAGUCACAAGUUGUUUGUGUGUGCAUUUCUUAUGAUCCUGUAUCUAGGUGUGUAUUUUCUGUUUGAAAACUCUUGACAAUUGAAAGAGGGAGUUCGAUCUGUUCCCUUCAUCCCAUUGACAAGUUGAAGUAUCCAUUUCAUUCCAAUUAUUUUCAUUUUUUUGAAGGCAGUGCUAGUGUACUUGCUUCCGUAGCUGUUUUAUUGAGCUAAUUAGGCUAGAUUUUAAUUGUCGCCAAGUCUUACAAACAUUUAGAGAACUGUUGCAGGUAGAAAAAAGCACAACGGAUGAUUGAAGGAUAUGAACAGCAGAUACAUAAUUUUGUUUUAUUCUUUUCUGAUCUCAUCACUCCAAACACCAAACAGAAGAAGAUUACAGAAUAUUUGUGAGAACUUACUUUACAGUUUAUACAUUACCAAUAAACGAAACAGACUAAUUUAAUACAAACCUGGAGAUAUAUAUAUAUAUAUAUAUAUAUAUAUGCUGCAUACAUACUGUUAUCAUCACAUACUGUGUACAUUUUCCAGAUAUGCAUAUAUAUAGAACUACAAACUCCCAAGAAUCCUACAAUGAACCCAAGAACAACUGAAAGCCAUGGAAUUUGUUGCCCAUUAAUGUCAACAAGAUAUUGAUUAUUGUUUUUUUCUUUCUUAAUGCCUUUAUUUGGAUUUGGCAGGCACUCAUUUGAAAGUGGUGGACCACAAAGUUUGGGAUUCCCCUCGAAGGCAGAGGCAUUGAAGCUUUGGAGCUGAGUACUUGUUGGAAUUCCUCCUUCAAGAUUAUUGUAUGAGACAUUAAAAGAUGACAAGAAGUUGAGACUAGUCAAUGACAGUGGGAUUUUUCCAGACAAAUGAUUCAUGGAGAGGUCCAAAUUCUCCAAGUUUUUGAGGUCGGACAGUUGCUCUGGAAUGUUGCCGGAAAAGUUGUUAUUGCUAAGGCUCAAUGUACGAAGAAGCUGCAAUUGACCAAUCUCAGUAGGUAUGUUUCCACUAAUGGUAUUAUUGCCUAUGUUUAUUGCAGGAGGAAAGGAAGAAAAUAAUUUGUACUGCCGUAGUGUUGGACUCUGAUAUCCAUAUAUUGGCAAUUCAAGAUAAAUAUCAUCAUCUUGAGCUGUAGAGCUUUCAGAUACUAACAUUGGUAGUUUACAAAGCUCUUUCGGAAAUUCACCUGAAAUUUGGUUAUUGUCCAAUUGUAUAAAAAAGAGCCUUGGAAGAGUCCCCAACCAACUAGGAAUUAUUCCUGUGAUUCUAUUGGACUCAAGAGCCAAGAUCUUUAGUUUCUUGACCUUAGAUAGCCAUAUAGGUAGUUGACCUGUCAGCUCACAUUGACGCAAAACUAACAUUCGAAGAUUUUGGAAACCAUCAAAAUCGACGACGCCAAGAUCAUCUGGAAAUUCCUCACCUACAAAAUUAGAUGCAAGGGAUAGGACUACAAGAUUUUUGCAAUGCAUCAGUAUCUUCAUUGCCUUGGCGAUAUUAGUCAUUCUGUUAUAAGCAAGCGAGAGGAAGGACAAGGACUUCAAUGACAGAAUCUCAGGUUGUAUUUCUCCUUCUAGAUCAUUGCCACUCAGCCGAAUUGCUUUCAGGUACUUGCAAGAGUAAAGGCUCACUGGAAACAUACCGGUGAGGUGAUUCUUCCCAAUAUCAAGCUUACUGAGGCUGAUAAGUCUGGAAAAAUUAAGCUCAGAGAUAUUACCUUCCAAAUUGUUAAAUCCCAUAUUCAAUUCUGCAAGGCUUGUGCAAUUCAUCAAAGAUGGGGGCAGAGAACCUUCAAGAUUAUUGAACUGAAGGAGUAAUAGUUUCAGUUUGGAGAGCUUGCCAAUACUUUCAGGGAGCACGCCAGUCAAUACAUUAGAGUUGAGGUCAAGGAUUGAGAGGUUUGUAAGGUUGGCAAUUCUUUCACCAAUGGCUCCGUCUAGCGAAUUGUGAGGUAAAGAAAUUUCUUCAACUGUGGUAGCAUUGUAGAUGUCCUCUGAAAGUAAACCUGACAAGUCAUUGUGACCAGCACGAAAAACAUGCAGUUUGGAACACUCACCUAGUCCUUGAGAAAUUUUGCCACUAAAUUCAUUGAAUGAAAAAUCCAAUAGCCUAAUCAAGGGAGAAGAAUGAAGACAAAUUGAUGAUGGGAUAGAACCUGAGAAUGUGUUGUUGCUAACAUUGAAACUAGUCAAAUUCAAAGCUUUUUGGAAGAAUGAAGUUGGAAUUGCACCAUGCAAGUGAUUGCUGGACAAAUCAAGCUUUCGGAUGUUUUGGGAUGGUAAAGAAGAUGGUAGCUCUCCGGAAAGAAGGUUAUAGCUCAAAUCAAGGAUCUCCAAAUGAUUCAAAGACGAGAAGAAUCCUGUACUUUGAUCUAGUGAACCGUAAAGUGAAUUGUGGGAGAGAUUCAAGUGGGUGAGAUGUGUGAGAUUUCCAAGUGAGGAUGAUAGAAAAGUACCUUCCUUGAGUUUAAGUCCUUUGGAAGGUAACUGCAAAUGAGUAAUCCAACCAUCCUGAUUACAUGUGAUCCCCUCCCAAUUGCAACAAUCAAAGGAAGUCCAAUUCAACUGAGGAGAUGACAGAGUGAGAGAAAACGACAGCAGAGAGCUGCGCUCACUUUGGUUGCAAGCAUGAAUGUUUUCAAGUAUGAUAUUGAAAGAGAAUAUCAAGAGCAGGAAGAAAAGGAAUGCAUAAGCCAUUUGGUGAUGAGCUGCGCUAGCAAGUCUGUCUUAUGGAUCAUAUCCCACUCAUGCUUGUAUUAUAUGGAACUGGUCAGCAUUGCUAAUUAAAUGCUGACCACUUAGGUUGCCAGAAGGAUCAGCAAGUCAAUAAUCCAGUCUGACCGUCAUUACAUCUUUUUUGAGACAGAUAGCUAUCAUUUUCAUAUAGAUUAAAUAAAAGAAGAUAUUUGGGCAUGAACUCUCUAUCUAAGAUUCUAAGUUUUGUGGCAUAUGCGCGUCUUCAUUUGCUCAUAGAAUUUGUCUAGCAGUCUUUGUUUACUUAGAGUUAUUAUGAGUUAUGAGAAUGAAGUGCCCCUUAAUCAGCCAAACAAAUCAAAACACCAAAGCAUGUACAAUCUGGCUAUCUAGCUUCUGAUGUUUUUUGUCCUGUUGAUUUGCACAGUUAUCAUCACAAUGAAAAAGGUCGAAAGAGAUCAGGCCCAUCUUUGGCCUUUCUGGUGCAGGAAGUUCAAACUUUGAAUCAAACCAUAUACGGUGUGUAUGUACUGAUUUGCAUAUAUGUGGAGUGUUGCUAUAUGCUCUUUGUUUAUCUGUUGAUUUGCAAACACAACCCUUUCGUGGAGUAUUUCUGUUCUCUGUGUACAAAGCUUUUGUAUAAACAAUGUGCAGAUUCCUCAGGUCUGUAUUUGCUGUUUGAAAGAAAACUCUAAUCCAAAUUCAGAGUGACAAGUGAAAGAGGGAGCUAUAUUCCCAUGUAAACGUUGAUAUAUUCCAUUUAAUUUCGGUUGUAGUCAUUUGUAAGGCCACUGCAUAGUCGUACGUGUUGCUUUAAAGUUGUUCAGUUACCUGAGCUUGACUUUAGUAGUUGGUAAGUUGCGAUGUACACUAAUCUUUACAGGACUGAUAAUGCUGUGUUGAUACUGCUGCAGGUAGACAACACUAACAGCAUAAUGGAUGGUGGCAGGCAGAAGUAACAUCUGAGAUUCGGACUUGCAGCUUAGCAGUUGGUUCUGUAGUCCAAGUGCAGACACAAGAAGCGAGACAAUGAAGAAGAAUAAUGUCAAUUAGAUCGCUGCCCGCUAGUGAACAAAGCAGCAGUCAUGCCAAUGACCAGUGACUUCAACAGAAGGCCUAUAAAAUAUGAAGGUACUUUGGAAAUUAACAAGACAAAAACUAACGAAGUUGUUCAUGGACAGGAUUCUUGGGGAGAACAAAUUCAGAAAUUCUAUACAUUUACUCUGUUUCCAGCGCUUUUCAGACAUAUUUUCUAACUAAUUCUGACUUCUGAGUCCACUAAUAAGUUGUUUUCAAACCAGGUUUUAUAUGAAUUUUGAAGGCUGGAUAAAAGUCCGAAAUAAAUUUGAAGAUAAAGCAAUGCAGGUUGAAGGGGAGGCAUGAAAAGAGAGGCUACGUAUUGCAUAGAUGAUAGGUCAAGUUGGUGAUGAACAUCUCUGAACAUCUUAGGUUGACAAGAACCACCAACGAAUCAGCACAUCACAUAAUGCUUGUGUUUGCUUCCAUGAUAGUUCAGUCACAGCUACAAGAUGUAACCCAGAAGUACGUAUCAGCUACAAUUUCAUUAUCCGAACUCAGAAGUAUAGGGUAAACUAAAAGUGGAAAACCUUUACUCACUUUAAUAUAGUAAAUUAAGAUUCAGAUUUAGUAGAAACUUACUUUCCAAGAUCUGAUGGACUUGAAAACUAUAAGCUUAAAAAGAAGCAAGGAUUUGCUGAGUGAUCGAUUUAAAAAGCACAAGGGUACACGUGAUGAAAAAAUAAGAUCAGGGACACAACUGAUAAAUGACCUAAAGUUCAGGGUGCUAAAAUCAUGGAUUUAUUGAAUGUAAAUGCUGAAAACAAGAAAGGAGAGCAAGAAUGUUAUGGAGGCUACAUUGUGUCUUAUCUUGAUUAAGAGAGAAUGAGGUUACAACAAUACAUAUAGAGCUUAGAAUAUAGAAUGACGUAAAUGCCCUUGCGACUUAAUUGUCAUAAACCUAGCAUAUAUUUAACACCCCCCCUCAACCAUAUCCUUGGGAACAAGCAUAAUGGUUGCCUGCAAACUACACAAAUAUAACCCAAAAAAAUACAAGAAAACACCCAAUCCAAUAACCUAACAACUUGAUAUGAUAAGAUCAACUAGCUUCCAUCUUGACUUGCUACAAAUGUGUUAACACUAGAAUCACCCAAGUGUAAUGGCUGGAUCAAGAUAUAUAAGUCUCAAAUGUAUCACAAUAGAGUCUUCUUCAAUGCUCAAGAUACUGCAUGCAAUAUCAGUCAAGGCUUUCAAGCAAUAGCAACACAGACUUCAAGCUAAGAAGCCAAUAACCAAGCAUCUAUAAGAUCUUGUUGGCUUGUUGGUCACGGCAACAAAUGAGGCAACAUAAAGGAGGAGAGCAAGGGUAGCAGCGCAUCAAACAAACCAUAAUUUGAGUAAAAACUGAAAAUUCUUCUUGAACUUGAAAAAUUUGUUGAUAUCUGACUUUUCAUACUGAAAAAUCUAAAAGGCUGCAUCCACUACACACUGCAUAUUACCUACCAUUCUGCUACAUAUGCAUUUGCAUGGUCUCACUUUUAAUGAGGUGCCCACAGCCUUAGCCCAGAAGCAGAAUAAAACAAAAAACAAAACAAAAAAGGAAAACAAAAAAGCAGAAGGCAAAAACGAAUGGUAGUGCUCUUUUUCAAAAUUUGGUUUAGAAAGUAAGUGAACAGAUUUUGGACUUGAUGUUUCUUUUUGUAUUGUAAUUGAAUAGAAGCUAGCAAAGACUGAAAUUGAACAGUAAUCCAAAUGCCACUGGUAAUUGUACAAAGUUGUUUGAAAUAUAAUUGUACAAACAAAGUGAAAGUGAAGCUUAAAGGAUAACAAGACCAGAUUUGGUAAAAAUUUCAUCGGUAAUUGUACAAAAUUUUGUUUCAGUGGAAAUUGUAGAGAAUAAGAAAGGAAAGAUAGGCUAAAAAGAAAUAAAAAAUGGACAAGACUGUGGGCAAUUGAAUAUGUUCAAGCAUCAUAUGAGCAUAUCGGGCCAAACCACAACAAAUCAACCUUAUAACUCCAAAUUUUUCUUCACGUAGCAUUGUAAUGUGAAUAGGCAGAGAUGACAUCUAACCAGAAUGGACUACUGCGGAAUCAAUUGAGGCAAAUCAUAAUUGAAUGCAAAAACUUCCAAAUAACAAAGGAACCAGAACCUAAUUCACCGAAUUCAUUCAUGAACUGCACACUAGAGCCAGAGAACAAUCCAUAAUCCAAAAUUAUCAUGCCACAAUCACCAGUCCAAAAUAGAAGCUCACAAUAUUCACCCCCAUGCUAAGAAUCAUAUCAAUCGAUAGAUAUAGCUCCUACUGUCCUCAUCAACUUAUGCAGCAAAACAGCGAAGUAACUGAGUAGUCUCCAGGAACAAAUAAACAACUUAGCAUUGUGCUUUCAUGCUUUCUGCUCUCUCUACUUUGCAUUUAGAAGACACCAAGUAAUACUGAAACCAUAAGAGUAGCCAAAAAAUUCCAAAGCGUCCAAGCAGAUAUAAUAUAAAUUGAUAGAGCUCUAAUGUCCUCACCAUCAUAUAGCAACAAUCUAAGCAUAUGUUGGAACACCUUCAAACUACCAACUCGACUUCAACACUACAUCAUAGGCAUCUCCCAAAAAUAGACACAACCAACAGAGAGAUUUCAUGUCUCAUGUGAUAGAAAAGCCUAGAUCAGAAAGAAAUUACCAGCUGCUCUCAUAUUGAAUCAUAGUGAUGAAUGCGGUGAAAUUGGACAAAUUGACUGCUUUUAGGUGAGGGCUCUUGGAACUCUAGCUCGCCCCCUGACGUCGCAGAAGCAGAGAAGUACUGUGACGGUAACCGAAGUACAGAAGAGUACCCCGAUUACGUCGACGACAUCUGACUCACAGAAGCAGAUUCCGAUACGAUUUCUAAUCGCAAAUCCCUAUCUGAGAUUUUCGUUUUCAGAGGAUGGCAUCGAUAAGGGCAUCUCCAACGAUGGUUGUCAUACCCAAACUCAUACCCAUAUUUUGAGUUACUCAAACCCAUUACUAUUCAAACUCAUAUUUCAUCUCCAACCAUUAUAUCAAAACCCAUACUCAUACCUAAAUUUUAAACAUUUUAUAUAAUUUGGGUAUGAGUAUGGGUAUGAGUAUAGGUUUUGAUCAUCAACAAAUAAAUAAAUUUCAUAUAUAAUGUUUAGGCCUAUUUUUUCUGGACCUGACGAUUUGAAUGAUCAUUCAAUUUGGGCCGAGCGUUUUUGGACCGUUGGAGGGUCAGAAGCGAGCUCACGUGGUUCAGCCGCAGGUGUGCAUCUCCCGCUCACGCGUGAUUGGCGCGUCUCGCGCUCCCGCGCGCUCCUCAUCUGCCCGUUUUUCUGUCUUUAGCGCGCGUUCUCCACAGACGAAGCUCGCCGCGCGUAGCUCCUGUCGCUGCCCAGUCUUUCACGUGCACCUGCCGCCUUCUGCUGCCAUUUGGGUCCCGCGUCUGCAAUUUUGGGUUUCCUCCUUGCAACUCGACCCAUUUUGGGUCGUCUGUGUAGUAGGAACCCAUAAUUGGGUAUGGGUUUUAAUUGUUGGAGAUGAAUUUUUAUGGGUUUUGAGUAUGGGUUUGGGUAUGGCAACCAUUGUUGGAGAUGCCCUAACAGAGAAUGGCCAUAGAUUUGACACUAGCACACAUAUAUUGGAUUAAUCGGGUUUAGGGUUUUUGAUUUGGGGGAAAUUGAAAAAACUGAAAAUGAAAUCUUGAUGGAUAAAAGCGGAAGCAAAAACCCUCAGAAGCACAUAGCCACGUAUCGUGACCAUAUAUGGCUCUGAUACCAUGCUAAAAUUAUGGAUUUAUUGAAUGUAAAUGCUGAAAACAAGAAAAGAGAGGAAGAAUGUUAUGAAGGCUACAUUGUGUCUAUCUUGAUUACGAGAGAAUGAGGUUACAACAAUACAUAUAAAGCUUAGAAUAUAAAAUGACGUAAAUACCCUAACAACUUAAUUGUCAUAAACCUAACAUAUAUUUAAUACAUGGUAGCACACUGAAUUUAAUCCUAAAACUAAAAUACACUAAAAUUAAGAAUAAGUACAAACUUCUAGCCUCAUAAGAAUUUUUUCUAACCCGCCCUUGUUAUGCAGACUGUCCAAUCUCAUUCAUAAUUUGAGCCUCUCUUGUACAGUAUACAGGAAAUUGAAAUAUGCAUCCCUCCAGGUCUUGAUAAGCAAUAAUGAACCACAAACUCCCACUAACCCUAUAAUGAAGCCAAGCACAACGGAAAUAGACAAGCCUAUAAUUUGAUUCCCGUCAUUCUUAUCAUCAUCUGAAUCAGUACCAUUGAAUGGUUGACACAGAUUUAGAAGCGGGGAACCACAAAGCUUCGGAUUCCCCUCAAAUGCUGACACAUUCAUGCCUCGGAGCUGAGUGCUUUUUGGUAUUUCUCCUUCCAAAUUAUUAUAUGAGACAUUUAAAGAUGACAAGAAACUAAGAUGCGCCAAUAAAGCUGGGAUUUCUCCUGACAAAUGAUUCAUUGAAAGAUCCAGAGUCUCCAAGUUGUUGAGAUUCGAUAUUUGGUCUGGAAUGUUGCCGGACACCUGGUUGGCGCUGAGAUCCAAUAUAUGGAGAAGUUGCAACUUCCCGAUUUCAGUAGGUAUAUUGCCACUGAUGCUAUUGUUGCCUAACAUUAUAGAUGGUGGAUAGUAAGACAGAGAAUUGAACUGUAAAAUGCUUGCAUCAGGCAUGGGUUGGGAGGCGUAGAAAGGCAAUUCAAGAUAACCAUGAUCUACUUGAGCUGCAGCUUGUUCAGAUACCAACAUUGGUAGUGUGCAAAGUUCUUUUGGAAUUUGACCUGAGAUUAGGUUGGACCGCAAGUUUAUAGAAAAAAGUGUUGGAGAAGUCCCCAACCAAGUAGGAAUUGAACCUGUGAUUCUAUCACGUGACAUAUCCAAGAUCUCUAGCUUCUUGAGCUUAGAUAACCACAUAGGUAUCUGACCGGUUAGCUCACAACCAUUCAAAGCCAAAAUCCUAAGAUUUUGGAACCCAUCAAAGUCAGCGAUGUGAUCACCAUCUGGCAUUUCUUCACCUAUGAAGUUGUAUGAAAGAAUGAGUACUGUGAGAUUUCUGCAGCCCUUCAAUAUAUCCAUAGCACCUGUGAGAUUGGUCAGUCUGUUCCCAGAAAGUGCGAGGAAGGAUAAGUGUUUUAAUGAGGCAAUCUCGGGUUGUAUUUGUCCCUCUAGGUUGUUGUGGCUUAAUUGAAUUGCUCUAAGGGACUUGCAUGAGUAAAGGCUUAUUGGCAAGAUACCAGUAAAAUGAUUACUGACGAAGACAAGUUUACGAAGUUGACCAAGUCUAGAGAAAUUAUAAGCUGAGAUAUCUCCGUCCAAAAGGUUGAAUCCUAGAUUCAGUUCCAUAAGGUUUGUGCAAUUCAGCAAAGAUGGUGGCAAAGAACCUUCUAGAUUGUUGGAAUGAAGGAGCAAGACUUUCAAUUUGGAGAGCUUCCCAAUAUCUAUUGGAAGCAUGCCACUGAACUGAUUCAAGUAGAGGUCAAGGACUGUGAGGUUAGUAAGUUUAACAAUUCUGUUACUGAUGCCCCCUCUAAAAGAAUUUGCAGGGAUUGCAAGUUCUUCUAGUGCGGUAGAAUUAUAGAUAUCUUCCGGAAGUGAUCCUGAGAGGGUAUUGUGACCAGCACGAAAAACUUCCAGUUUGGAACAGUUUCCUAGUGUGCGAGAGAGAUUGCCUCCAAAAUUAUUGUAGGAAAAAUCUAAUAGCCUAAUCAAAGAAGAAGAGUGGACACAAAUAGGGGAGGGGAUAUAACCUGUGAAUUGGUUGUUCGUGACAUUGAAAUGAGACAAGUUCUUUGCUUGUUGGAAGAAGGAUGAUGGAAUUGCACCAUGGAACCGAUUGCUAGAAAAAUCCACCAUCCGAAUAUUAUUGGAUGAUGAUAGAGAACCUGGUAGCUCUCCAGAAAGAAAGUUAAAACUCAAAUCAAGUACCUCAAGACGACCCAGGGACAAGAAGAAUCCAGCUUGAUCUAAAGAACCACGAAGUGAAUUGCGAGAGAGAUUGAGGUAGGUUAGAUGUGUGAGAUUACUGAGUGAUGAUGAGGAAAAAAGAUCUCCUUUGAGUUUGAGGCCUUUGGAGGAUAGGUGCAAAUGGGUUACUCGACCAACCGCAUCACAAGUAAUGCCUUCCCAUUUGCAACAAUCCAAGCUAGUCCAAUUUAAGGAAGGAGAAGACAGAGUGAGGGCAAAAGACAAGAGAGAGGUUCUUUCACUUGAGGAGUAUGCAUGAAUAUGUGUAGAUGAAAUGGAGCCAAGUAGAAUAAGAAGCAAGUAUUGAGCUAUUGGGUGAUAAGGUUGCCCUGCUAGCAUCUUUCUUGGUUUGUGGGACAGUUCAGGUUUAGUUUGAGUUGCUCACCUAGCUAGCCUUGUGCUUGUUUAUAUAACCAAGAGCCUUCACUUUUUUCUUAGCUUCAAUUCUUGAAACAGUAGCCUUGCAUCAAAUUUUUCAUUGACGCUGGAGUCACUUAGAUACUGAUAAAGUAGCAUGAGGUUCACAUCCAAAACCAUUUGGCAAUGGGUGGAGUGGCCCAAACUCUUAUAAACCCACAUGCAAUGUCUCAUAUUCCCAAUGUGGGAUCGAUAUCUUAACACGCCCCCGCACGUUCGUGUGACCGUUACUCAUUCACACGUGGACAUGGAUAACCCGUUCUGAUAUCAUGAUAAAGUAUUAUGGGGUUCACAUCUAAAACCGAUUGGCAAUGGGUGGAGUGACCCAAACCUUUAUAAACUCACAGGUAAGGUCUCAUAUUUUCGAUGCAGGAUCGAUAUCUCAACAGAUACUCAUGACAUUUGACGCAUGCAUGUAGACUUCUCGAUUACAUGUGAAAUGGAGUUAUGGAGUGAACAACAAAGAUCAUGUUUGGCUGGGUGAGUAAUGUUUAUCAUGAAGGCAGACAUUGGGAUCCAGACAUUGUCGUUACAUCAAUUAAAUUAAGUCCAUGUUGGCGUGCUGUGUGCUGUUGAUGACUUUCAAAAUGUUGAUUUCUCUGAAAUGUGAGUGGGUUGUGACUUGUUAAGUUUUUGAUUAUUUGUAAACCUAACAUUGUAGAGGUUAUGACUCCGAACAAACUAUUAUAUGAGAAUAUGCGGGGUGGGAAAACAAACAGAAAGAAGGAAGAACUAAUUUCUAGUCUUGUGGUGUUAGUGACGAAGGGGAUGGAAGAACCCCCAUAGGAUGAGGAAGUCAGUGAAAUUAAUGACCUUGUAUUAAAUUUUUCAUUGACGUUGGAGUCACUAAGAUAUUGACGUCCGACGCACCCAUGUAGACUUCUUACUUACAUCUUGUAUGGCUCUGUGACCAUCAAAAAUCUAAGAAGAUAUAACUUUUAAGAAGAUAUACUAGAAAUGCAACUUAGUGACCAAUAAAAAUUUGGGAAGAUAUACUAGAGGAAAUAAAUAAGGAAUAAGUCAAGAAGUCAAUAACAAACUUGGGAAAGGACAGUAUUUCUCGGUUUGAAUAUUAGGCCAAUUACAUAUAAGUCCAUCCAAAUAGGUGAAAAAAUGUUUAAAAAGUGAUUAAGGUGAAAUUUUCUAUUGAAUAUUCUAAGUAGGCAACUUGCAAAGAAGGAGCUACUGUCAUGAAAACCAUAAGAAAGCCAAACCCCCUGAACCGGUCCACAUUACUACAACCAAAAACGCGCUUCUGAGGUCUGGUUUUUGACCAAUCUCACAUUUUCUACAUCACCUUCUUCUUUGUUCCUCUUCCCAUUUUACACUUCUAGUUUCCCUUCCGGAGACGUUUGGCAGACUUGACUAGAUUGGAUUGGCAAAGCCAGAUUGGAUUGGUAAAGGAUUUUGAUUUGCUACUCUUAUCUAGUGUUUGGAGCAACCAGAUAACAAUAUUACUGGAUAAGAAUAUUUAAACAAAAUCAAAUGAAUUAAAAGAAGAUAUCAAUUUAAAUUUCCAAUUAUUAUGAAAAUAAAUUGGAUGAAGUUUACAGAUCUGCAGAUCGAUAAGAUACAUCUUUGAAGAGAAUAGUCCAUAUCAGCUUUCAAUUUCUAGCCAUAGAUUUAGCCGAAAUGAGUCUAAUUUUGCUAUGUGAUUCCCUCUUCGGAUCAGAUCAUCCACAACGUGGUUGAGAAAAAUAAUUUGAUCAUGAAAUUCUUAAGAAAAAUACUAUUUCAUCCUUCCAAAAUCUAAAAUGACUCAAUUAUAUUGUAUUUUUUUUAUAUGAAAACAAUUUUUAUUCUUCAAUCAAGAAUCGAAAAUUUUCAUGUAAUUCAGUCAAUAGAUUUGCAUGACACGUACAUGUACGUGAAUUAGAACUUUGUUGCGUUCCGAAAUUUUUUUAACAAUACAUUCAUAUGAUAUUAUGCUUAUUUGUGUGUGUAUAUGAUGAGCGUUAGUUUCAUAAUACAAAGCUAACUCCCCAUUAACUAAAAUUUUCGGUCAUAUAUCUAGAUCUUCCAAUCUUCAGUUUAUAGUUCCCUAUGUGCGUUACAGAAAAUUUUCAGCCAAUCUAAUGAUGGUUUGGGUAUCGAGCAGUGUCAAAUUAAUGGACGAACCGAUAUUUAACUUAAACCGAUCAUGUUCAUAAUUAAUAAAUCACUAUUUUGAAUACCCAAACGAUUGUCAAAUUGGCUGGAAAUAUUCAGGGAUGAUCCACGCAUAGGGAACUACAUGCUGAACAAUGAAAGAUCCAGACAUAUGACCGAAAAGUUGGGUUAAGGGCGGGUUAGCUUUGAAUUAUGAAACUAACCGGUUAGUUCUAUAACGCAUCAUUCAGUUUGUGUGUGUGUGUAUACAAUCUCUAUCCACAGCGAAACUUCGUUUUGAAAUUAAAAUGUGAAGUGCAAUUUUUGACUCAUUUUUUAGUUAUAUUUUCACAUUUUCACCGUUCAGUUUACAGAAUCUAAUGCAUAGAUUGGUCUUAAGUGCUUAAAACGUCCUGUUUAGUUUGUAAACACACAGUGUUUCGUGCUAUCGGUGUGACCGUGUUAGGUAGCCGUGAGAUGUAGUAACCAGUGUCAGAAUGACACGUGUCUGUCAUGUCCACGACUCAUCUAUAUGAGCUGCUGCUUUCUUCUUUUGAGAUAUGCAUGACCUAUUUUUUUUUGUUAACUUUUUUAUUAAAUAACUUACACACUUUUAUAUCGGUGAUGUUUGAAUUCAUGAUGAAAUCAACGUUGUUGAUUAAGUUACCGAAUCAACCAGGCACGGCUCACGAACUAUGCAUGACCAUUUUACUUUCUUAGAUAUUUUAUUGACACUUUCAUUUUCUUCUAAAACGUUAGGGUUAGAACCCCAACACUCUUUUGGGGAUAAAGUUAACCAAGAGAGAAGUUCCAGAAUGAGAAUCUGCAAUUGUAUUACACUAUUACAAGUUUACAACCACCAUCAGAAUCCAUCACAAUAUCAUGCAUAGAAGCAUGUUCAAGUCCUAUCAUGGUAUACAUCUCCAUUGAAAAAUUUGAAAGUAGAAUAUCGAAUAUGCUUUUUUUUAGGGUGGUGCUAUAUUAACACAUCUUUUUUUUUUUCCUAUUAACACAUCAUAUAUAUAAUGAGAACCAAUUAUCGAUCAAAUUCAAGUGACAAGUUUGUAAAUAAAAUAAAAAUAUGUGGAUAGAAAAAUAGAUGAAGUGUAUUAAUAGCAAUAAUUGGGUGUGGUAAUAACAAUACCCUUAUAAAUAGGCGAUNNNNNNNNNNNNNNNNNNNNAGACUGAGAGAGAGUUAGAGAUAGACGAUGAAAUUUGGAAUACUCGCCUAUUUAUAAAGAGAUUUUUAAGAAGAUGAAUCUUCUUCAUAACUCUGGUAACGGGUACUUGAUUUGCUUCAUUUUUGCUAGUAUAUUACACGAAACGCUGAAAAUUGUUAGAGAUUGCGCGAUUUAUGUUGAGUUUUUUUUUUUUUUUCCUGAUAUCUUCAUUAAAAAAGAUUUUGGGACCCUAAAUUUUAGGUUAAGGCCUAUCGCCCUGCUUGCCCAGAACCAGGGCCGGGCCUGUAUAAGUACUGUUUAAGCAAUAAGAUUGUCAUUUGUUUAUUUAGAUCGUUAGAAAUUUAGUUCAUUUGUAGGCUCCCUUGAAGGAUGAGGUUGUUUUAUGCACACCAAUAAUUCUAUGACUUGUGGAUACUAGGAGUUGACACACAAACUGUAUCCACGGAACACAGAUAUAGGAUACUGAGAUGGAUUGCGAGUCAUUACAGAAAUAUUUUUAACAGUUUUAUUAUAGGAUAGAAUAGUACUUAUGUUGAACUGUCAUGCUGUACAUGUAAGUACGUAGUGUAGUAAAAUAGAGCUGUAUAACAUAAAAGCUCCCUAGCCUCUUGAUAUUUCUCUUAUUCAUAUUCACUAUUUGACUAUAGUUUGACGGUACUAUGGAGCGCUUGGUGUUGGUGUAUUUCCACUCCUUCCCCAGAUCCCUGCAAAGUAAACAAAAUGGAAAAUGUACGUAUAUAUGGUAUUAGUUUAGUGAAUGAAACACUGGCACCACUCUAGUUUAACCCUAAAAAUGAGAAUGGGUUCAACCAACUAGUUACUGAUACACUUUCUGGAAAAGAAAAUGAAAUUGCACUUGUAUAUAUCAACUGAAUUGUUGUGGGUUAGAUAGGAAGAGAGAAAAAACAAAUACCUUCAAUGGGGGUGCCGGAUGGACCUGAAUUAAGGGAGACCAAACCGUUGUGAUUACACUUAGUAAUGCCCAUCCGACGAGGGUGACAAUGAAUAGAAAUCCGAUUUGAGGGAGAAGAUGACAGACCAGUUGAGCUGUGUUGAGGUUGGUUGGAUGCAUACGCAUGAAGAAUGUUAUUAGUAGAUAGAAAGGAACAGAAGAAGAUCAGGAAGAGAAAGAUUCUGCCCUGAGCCAUUGCCAUUUCUCCGGUAAGUUCAGUAUGAUUUCUCACCUAGUAUUGCCGGCUAUAUAUGGUAAAUUAGGAUUAUUUUGAUGCAAAUAAGUCAACAGAAUAGGCUAUCUCUCUGGUCCAAGUUGAUUAAGCCGAUUGAGACACGACCAGAAAGUCUAUAACCCAAUCUGACUGGCAUUACAUCUUUCGUUUUAGUCAAGAUAGAUCAUUAACCUUCGAACCAGUUAAACGAAAAUGAAAUGUUUUGACAAUACAUUGUAGCGGCGUAUUGAAAAAAUCGUAGAGGGUUCAGGGUUUGGAUCCUCUUACGCAUUGUGUACGUAGUCUACAGUAUAAUUCCCAUAUUAUUACUUCUGAUUUGUAUGUAGAAGAAGACUGCAGAAGAAGUUUGAGACAGACAACUUUGCCAACCUUUACAUAUCUAUAUUACCGGCAGCAAACAACUUUAACAACGGGAAAUAUACUGCAUAUGCAUGACCUUUCAGUCUAGCUUCCAUUAAGCCUGUUCUUCAUCCUUUUGAUCCCCACAUGCAGCUUUCAUCACAUAGAGGCUGUCAUAUGCAUUAUUGAGAAAUUGGAAAUAAGCAUAUCUCCAGGUCUUGAUAAAAAUCAAAGAACCACAUACUGACCAAAAUCCUACGAAAAACCCAAGCACAACUGGAAAUAUAAACCAUGGGACCUGAUCCUGUUGUUAUCAUCUCCAUCAAGGUCAUCAUUUGGGAGUGCUGGUUGGCAUUCAUAUGGAAGUGGAAGACAACAGAGGUUGGGAUUCCCCUCAAAUGCAGAUGCACCGAAGCUUUGCAACUGAGUGCCUGUUGGUAUUUGUCCUUCCACAUUAUUGUAUGAGACAUUAAAUACUGCCAAGAAAUUAAGGCUUGUUAAUGAUGCAGGCAUAUUUCCAGAGAAAUGAUUUACGGAGAGAUCCAAUGUUGCCAAGUCUUUGAGGUUGGAUGUUUGGUCUGGAAUCUUGCCUGAGAAGAAAUUGUUUGCAAGGUUCAACACACGGAGAAGCUUCGAUUGGCCAAUCUCAUUCGGUAUAUAUCCAGUCAUGUUAUUGUUCAUUAGUACUAAGGCCACUGGAAAUAACAACAAAGAAUUGUAUUGUUGAGCUCGCUUGCCAUCAGCAGUGAAGUAGAUAGGCAAUUCGAGAUCAUCACUGGACAAGUUGUUGUUUUGAGAUACCAACAUUGGCACUUUGGCAGGCUGCAAAGUUCCUUUGGAAAUUCCCCAGAAAUGAGGUUGGCUCCCAAGUCUAUGUGUAAGAGCCUAGGAAGAGUCCCAAGCUGACUAGGAAUUUGUCCUUUGAAUUUAUUUGUAUUCAGAUUCAAAACCUCUAGUUUCUUGAGCUUAGAUAACCAUACAGGUAUUUGACCGAUGAGCUCGUUCUGACUCAAAUCCAAAAAUCCAAGAUUUUUGAAUCCAUCAAAAUCAGAUAUGCCAAGAUUAGCUGGAACUGCCCCCACUUGGAAACUAGAUGCCAAGGAUAAGAACACUAGACUUUCGCAACGCAUGAGUAUCUUGAUUGCCCCUGUGAGAUUUGUCAAUCUAUUGAAAGAAAGCGAGAGAUAGGACAAGGAUUUCAAUGACUGAAUUCAUUAAAAUGGAGAUCAAGGAUUGCAAGGUUUGUGAGGUUGAAAAUGCCAUCACUAAGGACUCCGUAAAGUGAAUUGCGAGGUAAUGAUAUUUCUACAAGAGUGAUUACAUUAUACAUAUCUUCCGGAAUCCUACCGUCCGUCUUGACCUUUAGUUGUUUUGGACUUUGGUUACUCUUCUACCAUGUUUAUGGUUUGUUAAUGCUUUUUGCAUUUUUUAUUAUUUUUAAGGGGCGUUGGUCUCAAGUCCUCCCCUUUUUGUUGUUUUACCUCUCUUUAAUUAAAUAAAAUUUCUUGUUUUGCCCAAAAAAAAUAAAUACAUAUCUUCUGGAAGUAUUCCCAAAAGGUUGUUAUACCCAGCACGAAACACCUUGAGCUUGGAACACUCCCCUAGUCCAGGAGAUAUACUGCCGUUGAAGUUAUUGGAAGAAAAAUCUGACAUUCUGAUCAAUGGAGAAGAAGUGAAACAAAUGGGAGAUGGUAUGGAUCCUUUGAACUUAUUAUUGCUGACAUUGAAACUUGUCAGAAGAAUGAAGAUGGAAUGUCAGCAUUGAAAGAAUUAAUUGCUGAACAAAUAAUCCAGCAUCCGGAUACUCCCGGAUAGUGGAGAAAUUGGUAGUUCUCCAGAGAGAAUGUUAUAGCUCAAAUCAAGAUCAGAUGGCGGUUGGUGGUUGAGGACUUGAGAUCGUCGAUCAUCUUAGUGUGACAGUGGUCAGAUACAAGGCUAAUGAACAGUCGUGGAAGGAUGCACGGCUAGCUUGAACAAUAUUUCUGUCUCACUGAUCUUUCAACUCAAACUAAAAAUUGAAGGAGAGCCUUCCUUUUUUGAUGUGUAGAAAACAAGGAAGGAGCUAAGCAUUACUGUGUUGGUAUUGAUAUGGAUGCUUUUGGUUUCAUUAUUGCCUUAUUGGUGGCUUUGGAGAAGGAACUGACAUAGACAUGGUGAUGAAAAGACCUUGAAUCAUGAAGAGUUCAACGAAAAGAAAUGUUUGCUUUCUCCACUAGCAGUAGCAGUAGAAUUUCAUCAGCAGAAUAGAAAGGGCGGCGGAAGGAGGUGGUGACGACGGCAGGAGAUGGAGGGGGAGAAGAGCGAGCUCAGAGAAGGUAGUCUCAGAGAUACAGCCAUUUUUGGUGGGCCACACAGCCCGUUAAGGACCGCACCACUUGGACCGUCUAGCCCCACGUCACAUCUGCCUAGCCCGCAGGAAUUAUAAUCAGGCCCAACUUGUUUUAGACCCAACCCCCUCUUUUGUCUUUUUAAAUGGUGGACCCCUAAAGCCCGUUAAGGCCCGCUCAGGGCUGACCGCCUAGCCAUAGCACUUUUUUCUAGCCCGCAUGAAAUUAUUUUUCUUUUAUAUUUUCUUUUUACCUCUUAAAUUCUGGAAUUGGAAUUCCGCAGAGACGAAACAGAUGCAAAACAGAAUGAAACCGAAAGACAACGAUAAGAAGAAGAAUAAGAAGAAGAGAGAUCAUGAGAUUGAUGAUGAUUCUGAUUCUGUUUCUGGUGGUGAUGCGCAAGCGGUUGUGCAAGACUUGCUGAAGGAGUUUCCGAAUAUCGGGUGCGAUUUGAAGCAGCUUUUGCAAUUGAUCGAUGGCGGCAAAGCGGUCGACAUAAACGGAAUAGGUCAGAAGUGUCUGAUCAAGCCUCUCAGAGCUCUGUUCCUUUGCUUGGUUCUUAAGGAACUAGAUCACGGAUCUUUUGUUGCCUCCACAUGUUCCUCCAACUUUGGAGGUUAUUGGGUCCUUGAUCACGCCUUGUUUAGAUUUAGAUGAUGAAGAUGAUGAUCAUGGUCCUCCUCCUCCUUAUAGAAGGCCAAUUGGUCCGGAGAUGCCGACGCCAGAGCUACUUGCUGCUGCAGCCAAAUUGAGAGAGGCAGAGGCCGAGUUGAGGGAAGCUGAGUUGGAAGAAAAAGAUGAUGGUGUUUUAAUAGGGCCUGCACCGCAUGUUGCGGCUGCUGAAGUUGAAUCAGCUAACCAGGGUGAUCGUUUCGAAGAGGUGACAAGGAUCAUGGAAGCAGAGGAUGAUAGCAUGUAUGAUAUAUUGGGAGCAAACCACAAUGUGUCUGCUGAUAACAUCAAGAAAAGGUACCGGAAGUUGUCGCUUUUGGUGCACCCUGAUAAAUGCUCUCACCCUCAAGCUAGCCAAGCAUUUGUAAAGCUGAACAAGGCGUUUAAGGAGUUACAGGAUCCGCAGAAGCGGAGAGCGCUGGAUGAGAAGAUUGAGGUUAAGGAGAAGCAGGAAAGAUUCAAUGUGGAGUUGACGGCAAUGCGGGAAGCUGCAAUGUGAGCAAUGUGGAGAAAGAUGCAGGGGAUUUACAAGGAGGGUGAUGAGAAGCUACUGGCAGGUGAUGUGAGUGUUGUUAAAUCGGCACGAAAGAGAGAUGAGUGGAUGACAGAGCUUCCACCGGAGAGGAAACAUGGUACGAGUACAAUGCAAUCGACAAUAUUUAGCAGGAGUGCUAAACAAGGGCGUGGGGACACUAGCAGUUGGACUGAUGCUCCUGAGAGAGCUCGAAAAGCUAAGAUGGAUUACUUACAAGCGUGUAAUGAGUUUGCAUCACUUGCUUCGAAUGAGGAGGAGAGGAAGAGGAGUUUAGAUGCAGAGUUAAUGGACAGAUACAAUAAAGAGAAACGAUCGAAGUCAUUGUUACAAAAGCACAAAGAGGAGAUUAGAGCGAGCCGUUUGAAGAGAAAGUACUCCAAGCAACAGGUAGAGGUCCAGUAUUGUGAGGUUAGUCAGGUUGAUAAUUUUAUCAUUAAUGGCUCCAGAUAACGAAUUUCGAGCUAAUGAAAUUUCUUCAAGUGCAGAAGCAUUGUAGAUAUCGUCUGGAAGUAAUCCUGACUCCUGAGAGGUAAUUAUAACCGGCACGAAAGACCUGCAGUUCGGAACAUUUCCCGACUCCACGAGGAAUACCACCAUUGAAAUUAUUGAAGGAAAAAUCAAGGUGUCGUAACGAGGAACAAGGAAGACAAAUAGAGGAUGGGAUAGGACCUGAAAAGGUGUUACUGACAUUGAAACUAGUCAAGUUCCAAGCUUGUUGGAAAAAAGAAGAUGGAAUCAGACCAUGUAAGCGAUUAAUGGAAAAAUCCACCAUCUGAAUAUGACUGGAUGGUAGAGAAGAUGGUAACACUCCAAAGAGAAGGUUAUAGCUCAAAUCCAGGAUUUCGAGAUCAUUCAAGGACAAGAAGAGCUCAGUUUGAUCUAGAGAACCAAAAAGGGAAUUGUGUGAGAGAUUCAAGUAAGUGAGAUGUGUGAGAUUUGCAAGUGAUGAUGAGGGAAAAAUACCUUCCUUUAGUGUGAGCCCUUUGGAGGGUAAUCGCAAGUGGGUUACCCAAUCAUAUCGAUUACAAGUAAUCCCUUCCCAAUAGCAGCAAUUACUAGAAGUCCAGAAUAAGGAAGGGGAAGAUAGAGUGAGGGCAAAGGACAAGAGAGAGGUACGUUCAGUUUGGAUGCAUGCAUCAAUAUUAUGAGUAGAUAAAAUGAGAGAAAACAAGAUUAGCUUGAGAAUAAAGCCUUGUGUCACUGGGUACUCUUGUUGUACUGUUAUGUUUUUUCGAGGCUGAGCCAUGAUCAUGUGGUUGUGGACUUGUGAUAGAUUUUGAUCGUCAGUUUUUGCAUAUAUACAGAUUGAAGCAGAUUUGAAAUUCCAAGACGACCCAGAUUAUAUAUGAUACAUCUUGUCAAUGAAAUUAUACAAUUGGAAGAAAAUAAAACACGGCUGCAUAUAUUAAGGUGGAAAAUAGAAGCAAUGGCAUAUGGACAGAAGAAGGAAAAGCGCGGCUGGCGCCUGCUCCAGGUAACAAUUGAGGAGUAUGGUUUUCAUAUAUAAUAGCUAGCAGUUAGCAGAAGAACAAAUUUAGUAGAAACUAUGCUCUACUUCCAGAAGAUACUAACAUAAAGUCUUAAUUUACAACACCGAGAUCUUUAAAUUGGCAGCUAAGUAUAUAUUAUAGCAUAAAACACCAAAAACAGAGUUGCGGAGAGCUUCAGUAUUUCCAAUGUCUAGCUAGAUGUGUUGACCAUACAAAAUAUUGGAUAGCCUGAAGCUUGCAAAGUUAGUCUUCUUAGGAUGACAAGUAAUCAGAAUGUACUAAGCCUUCUAGAUAGUGUCCUUUAGUCUUUUCUUUUCCUUUUCUUUUUCUUUAAUUUUUCUGCCAUUAUCUCUUCAAAAGAAUGAACUAAGCUUUCUUAAUUUAGUUGGACCACUGUAAGAGAUAGGAUGAGUAUAUAUAUAAUUAUUUACACAUGUAGUUAUUUGUAAAAUUCCUGGCAGCUGCUUAAUUAAUUAAAUAGAUUAUUAAGAUGUCAAUCAUAGAAGAAGAAGAGUAAGAUGCUGUCUACCCAAUAGAAAAAAGAAAAAAAAGAAGAAGAAGAAGAGUGGAAACAAAAAUUUGACUUGAAUAGAAGUACAAGUAUCUAAGAACAGUAUCAUGAAAACAAAGAGUACUGUGUCUUGCAUAAUAAGUAAAACUAAAAUACACUGAAAUUAAGAAUAAGUUCAAACUUCUAGCCUCAGAAGAAUUCUUUCCAACCCGCCCUUGUUAUGCAGACUGUCCAAUCUCAUUCAUAAUUUGAGCCUCUCUUGUACAGUAUACAGGAAAUUGAAAUAUGCAUCCCUCCAGGUCUUGAUAAGCAAUAAUGAACCACAAACUCCCACUAACCCUAUAAUGAAGCCAAGCACAACGGAAAUAGACAAGCCUAGAAUUUGAUUCCCGUCAUUCGUAUCAUCAUCUGAAUCAGUACCAUUGAAUGGUUGGCACGGAUUUAAAAGCGGGGAACCACAAAGCUUUGGAUUCCCCUCAAAUGCUGAGACAUUCAAGCCUUGGAGCUGAGUGCUUUUUGGUAUUUCCCCUUCCAAAUUAUUAUACGAGACAUUUAAAGAUGACAAGAAACUAAGAUGCGCCAAUGAAGCUGGGAUUUCUCCUGACAAAUGAUUCAUUGAAAGAUCCAAAAUCUCCAAGUUUUUGAGAUUAGAUAUUUGGUCUGGAAUGUUGCCUGACACCAGGUUGGCGCUGAGAUCAAAUAUAUGGAGAAGUUGCAGCUUUCCGAUUUCAGUAGGUAUAUUGCCACUGAUGCUAUUGUUGCCUAACAAUAUAGAUGGUGGAUAGUAAGACAAGGAAUUGAACUGUAACAUGCUUGCAUCAGGCAUGGCUUGGGAGACGUGGAGAGGCAAUUCAAGAUAACCAUGAUCUACUUGAGCUGCAGUUUGUUCAGAUACCAACAUUGGUAGUGAGCAAAGUUCUUUUGGAAUUUCACCUGUGAUUAGGUUGGACGCCAAGUUUAUAGAACAGAGCAUUGGAGAAGUCCCCAACCAAGUAGGAAUUGAACCUGUGAUUCUAUUACGUGACAUAUCCAAGAUCUCUAGCUUCUUGAGCUUAGACAACCACAUAGGUAUCUGACCGGUUAGCUCACAACCAUUCAAAGCCAAAAUCCUAAGAUUUUGGAACCCAUCAAGGUCAGCGAUGUGAUCACCAUCUGGCAUUUCUUCACCUAUGAAGUUGUAUGAAAGAAUGAGUACUGUGAGAUUUCUGCCCUUCAAUAUAUCCAUAGCACCUGUGAGAUUGAUCAGUCUGUUCCCAGAAAGUGAUAGGAAGGAUAGGUGUUUUAAUGAGGCAAUCUCGGGUUGUAUUUGUCCCUGUAGAUUGUUGAAGCUUAAUCGAAUUGCUCUAAGGGACUUGCAUGAGUAAAGGCUUAUUGGCAAGAUACCAGUAAAAUGAUUACUCAUGAAGUCAAGUUUACGAAGUUGACCAAGUCUAGAGAAAUUAUAAGUUGAGAUAUCUCCGUCCAAAAGGUUGAAUCCUAGAUUCAGUUCCAUAAGGUUUGUGCAAUUCAGCAAAGAUGGUGGCAAAGAACCUUCUAGAUUGUUGGAAUGAAGGAGCAAGACUUUCAAUUUGGAGAGCUUCCCAAUAUCUAUUGGAAGCAUGCCACUGAACUGAUUCAAGUAGAGGUCAAGUACUGUGAGGUUAGUAAGUUUAACAAUUCUGUUACUGAUGCCCCCUCUAAAAGAAUUUGCAGGGAUUGCAAGUUCUUCUAGUGCGGUAGAAUCAUAGAUAUCUUCCGGAAGUGAUCCUGAGAGGUUAUUGUGACCAGCACGAAAAACUUCCAGUUUGGAACAGUUUCCUAGUGUGCGAGAGAGAUUGCCUCCAAAAUUAUUGUAGGAAAAAUCUAAUAGCCUAAUCAAAGAAGAGUGGACACAAAUAGGGGACGGGAUAUAACCUGUGAAUUGGUUGUUCGUGACAUUGAUAUGAGACAGAUUCUUUGCUUGUUGGAAGAAGGAUGAUGGAAUUGCACCAUGGAAUCGAUUGCUAGACAAAUCCACCAUCCGAAUAUUAUUGGAUGAUGAUAGAGAACCUGGUAGCUCUCCAGAAAGAAAGUUAAAACUCAAAUCAAGUAUCUCAAGAAGACCCAGGGACAAGAAGAAUCCAGCUUGAUCUAAAGAACCAUGAAGUGAAUUGCGAGAGAGAUUGAGGUAGGUUAGAUGUGUGAGAUUACUGAGUGAUGAUGAGGAAAAAAGACCUCCUUUGAGUUUGAGGCCUUUGGAGGAUAGGUGCAAAUGGGUUACUCGACCAACCGCAUCGCAAGUAAUGCCUUCCCAUUUGCAACAAUCCAAGCUGGUCCAAUUUAAGGAAGGAUAAGACAGAGUGAGGGCAAAAGACAAGAGAGAGGUACUUUCACUUGAGGAGCAUGCAUGAAUAUGUGUAGAUGAAAUGGAGCCAAGUAGAAUAAGAAGCAAGUAUUGAGCUAUUGGGUGAUAAGGUUGCACAGCUAGCAUCUUUCUUGGUUUGUGGGACAGUUCAGGUUUAGUUUGAGUUGGUCACCUAGCUAGCCUUGUGCUUGUUUAUAUAAGCAAGAGCCUUUACUUUUUUCUUAGUUUCAAGAAGGUUCAAUUCUUGAAACAGUAGUAGUUCACAGGAAAAACUAUCACGUACUUGAUUGCAAAGUACGAAGAUUUAGCAGGGAACUCCCAGAACCACAAAUCACCAAACAUCGUACGUCUGACGUUUGAACUCUAACGAAGGGGCAGGACCUCUACCGGAGAUUAUGAGUCUGAUAACCUUGCAUCAAAUUUUUCAUUGACGCUGGAGUCACUUAGAUACUCAUGACAUUUGACGCAUGCAUGUAGACUUCUCGAUUACAUGUGAAAUGGAGUUAUGGAGUGAAGGACUAAGAUCAUGUUUGGCUCGGUGAGUAAUGUUUAUCAUCAAGGCAGACAUCGGGAUCCAGACAUUGUCGUUACAUCAGUUAAAUUAAGUCCAUGUUGGCUUGCUGUGCUGUUGAUGACUUUCAAAAUGUCGAUUUCUCUGAAAUGUGAGUGAGUUGUGACUUGUUAAGUUUUUGAUUAUUUGUGAACCUAACAUUGUAGAGGUUAUGACCCCGAACAAACUAUUAUAUGAGAAUAUGCGGGGUGGGAAAACAAACAGAAAGAAGGAAGAACUAAUUUCUAGUCUUGUGGUGUAACUGACGAAGGCGAUGGAAGAACCUCCAUAGGAGGAGGAAGUCAGUGAAAUGACCUUGUAUUAAAUUUUUCAUUGACGCCGGAAUGUCACUAAGACACUGACGUUCGAAACACCCAUGUAGACUUCUCACUAACAUCUUGUAUGGCUCUGUGAGUAAUGUUCAUCAUCAAGGCAGCUAUUGUCAUCUCAGUGGUUAUAAGUCCAUGAUGAUGAUUUGUUGAAACGUUUCUAAGUUGUUGUCUUGUUGAUUAUUUGUAAACCUGACAUUGUAGAGUUAUAGGUCUGAACAUAUGAAUAUAUGAGAAGGAAAAUGAUUGUUUGCCUCGAUAAAUUUUAGGGUCAAUUACAUAUAAGUCCACUUUGAGACAUUUUUUUCCCAUAUUAGUCUACCAUAACAUUUUUACCCACAUAAGUCCACCCAAGCCUAAAUAAGGUUUUGUUUUAGGUAUUAAAGUUAAACAUAAUUACAGACUGCCAUUCAACAAAAAAAAGAUUAUCUCUCUUAUAUUUACAAAAAUAUCACUAACGUAAAAAAUCAACACCUACUAUCAUCUCCGGCCAACCUCAGGCGAGAUCUCCGGCCGAUCUCCGACAAAGUUUCCCACCGACCUCCAACAAUGUUACCGACGAUUGCAAAAGAUACUGUCACCAGCAACAAAAGCUACUACCACAGGCUAUAAAACCUACUACCACCAGCUAUAAAAUCUACUAUGGACCUAUGGUGAGAUUUUCAGCAACCUCCGACAAGGUCACAAAAGAUACUAUCGCCAGCAACAAAAAAUACUACCGAACAUAACAAAAGCUACUACCACCAGCUACAAAAGCUACUAUGCUGAGAUUCCAACGAUCUCCAGCGAAGUCACAAAAGAUAUUAUCACCAGCUAUAAAAGAUACUACCGAGCAUAUGAAAAGCUACUGUCACCAACAAAAAAAGCUACUAUCACCAGCUAUAAAAGAUACUACCGAGCAUAUGAAAAGCUAUUGUCAUCAACAAAAAAAGCUACUAUCACCAGCUAUAAAAGAUAAUACCGAGCAUAUGAAAAGCUACUGUCACCAACAAAAAAAUUUACUAUCACCAGCUAUAAAAGAUACUAUUGAGCAUAUGAAAAACUACUACAAGGUAGAACAAAACUACUGUCACCAACAAAAAAGCUACUGUCACCAACUAUAAAAGAUACUACCGAGCAUAUGAAAACUANNNNNNNNNNNNNNNNNNNNNNNNNNNNNNNNNNNNNNNNNNNNNNNNNNNNNNNNNNNNNNNNNNNNNNNNNNNNNNNNNNNNNNNNNNNNNNNNNNNNNNNNNNNNNNNNNNNNNNNNNNNNNNNNNNNNNNNNNNNNNNNNNNNNNNNNNNNNNNNNNNNNNNNNNNNNNNNNNNNNNNNNNNNNNNNNNNNNNNNNNNNNNNNNNNNNNNNNNNNNNNNNNNNNNNNNNNNNNNNNNNNNNNNNNNNNNNNNNNNNNNNNNNNNNNNNNNNNNNNNNNNNNNNNNNNNNNNNNNNNNNNNNNNNNNNNNNNNNNNNNNNNNNNNNNNNNNNNNNNNNNNNNNNNNNNNNNNNNNNNNNNNNNNNNNNNNNNNNNNNNNNNNNNNNNNNNNNNNNNNNNNNNNNNNNNNNNNNNNNNNNNNNNNNNNNNNNNNNNNNNNNNNNNNNNNNNNNNNNNNNNNNNNNNNNNNNNNNNNNNNNNNNNNNNNNNNNNNNNNNNNNNNNNNNNNNNNNNNNNNCGCAUUGUUCAAAAUAUACUAUCAUACAAUGAGGCCGAAACAUACUAAUGAAUCUUGUUUCAUUCAUCUCCUGCAUUAUCAUAACAUGAUUUUGUGCAUGAUUUCUCACACUCACUAUCAAAUUAACAGAAAACAUCAUCCUAAUACAUGUUUACAUUUUCUCAAAACCAAAGAAAGAAAUUGUAGCAAAUUUACACUAAGAAUUUUACCAGAACAGUCACCUCCAAUCGGAGGUCUAGAUCUUUAGGUCGUCAACCAGAUCUACUACUUCUCGUCGCCGAUCUUCAUUGAUCGGAGCCAUCUGAGGCGACAUCUUUGAAGUCGGCGGAAGGCGAUCACAGCCGUCAAGGACCAAACGAGCCGGCGAGCCAUCAGGUUUCAGAGAUCCCGUCGAGGUCAAAUAAGAAGUUGUUAUCGAUGGAACUGGACGCAAGAGAUGAUCUGACGACUUCGAGGUCAAGGCGCGUUGUCGUCGAUCCGGCAGCUUCGUGGUCGAGGCGCCGUCGUCGAGUCGGCGGAGUUGAGGUCGAGGUGAAGGCUUCAUCGUCGUUCUGGUGACGUCGAGGUCGAGCCAACGUCGUCAUCUAUCAAGUGGCGCCGAGCCAUCGUCGUUGAGUGGGUGUUGGCCUGAGACGCCGCCAUGGCCGGAGAUUCGAGAUCAGAGAAGAGAGGGAGGAGGAAGACGAUGAGAGAGAGAGAGAGAGAGAGAGAGAGAGAGAGAGAGAGAGAGAGAGAGAGAGAGAGAGANAGNNNNNNNNNNNNNNNNNNNNACAACAAUGAUCGAUCAAUCCUUUUUGUCAUGCCUUUGUCACCUACGUAUAUAAUUUCAUCAUGAAAUUCUUAAGAAAAAUACUAUUUCAUCCUUCCAAAAUCUAAAACGACUCAAUUAUAUUGUUUUUUUUUCUUUAGACAUAAAUGAAAACAACAAUUUUUAUUCUUCAAUCAAGAAUCGAAAAAUUUCAUGUAAUUCAGUCAAUAUAUUUGCACAAACAUCAGAGCAAUUGAAUUGCAUGGCACAUGUACCUGAAUUAGAACUUUUUUGCGUUCCGAAAUUUUUUGAAAAUAUAAUGUUAACAAUACAUUCAUAUGAUUAUGCUUAUUUGUGUGUGUAUAUGAUGAGCUAGCGUUAGUUUCAUAAUACAAAGCUAACUCCCCAUUAACUAAACUUUUCGGUCAUAUGUCUGGAUCUUUCACUCUUCAGUUUAUAGUUCCCUAUGUGCAUUCAGAAAAUUUUCAGCCAAUAUCUAAUGAUGGUUUGGGUAUCGAGCAGUGUCAAAUUAAUGGACGAACCGAUAUUCAACUUAUACUGAUCAUGUUCAUAAUUAAUAAAUCACUAUUUUGAAUACCCAAACGAUUGUCAAAUUGGCUAGAAAUAUUCAAGGAUGAUCCACGCAUAGGGAACUACAAGCUGGACAAUGAAAGAUCCAGACAUAUGACCAAAAAGUUGGGUUAAGGGCGGGUUAGCUUUGUAUUAUGAAACUAACCGGUUAGUUGUAUAACGCAUUAUUAAGUUUGUGUGUGUAUACAGUCUCUAUCCACAGCGAAGCUUCGUUUUGAAAUUAUAGUAUGAAGUUUCUUUUUUGACUCACUUUUUAGUCAUAUUGUCACAUCUCCACCGUUCAGUUUGUAGAAGCUAAUGCAUAAAUUGGUCUUAAUGGCUUAAAACGUCCCGUUUAAUUUAGUUUGUAAAUAUGCAGUGCGUCCCGUUUAGUUUGUAAAUACACAGUGUUUUGUGUUGUUGGUGUGACCGUGUUAGGUAGCUGUGAGCUGUAGUAACCAGUGUCGGAAUGACACGUGUCUGUCAUGCCACAACUCAUCUAUAUGAGCUGCUACUUUCUUCCUUUGAGAUAUGCAUGACUAUGUUCUUUUUGUUAACUUUUUUAUUAAAUAACUUACACACCCUUAUAUAGGUGAUGUUUGAACUUAUGAAAUCAACGUUGUUGAUUAAGUUACCUAAUCAACCAGGCACGGCUCACGGACUAUGCAUGACCAUUUUACUUUCUUAGAUAUUUUCUUGACACUUUCAUUUUCUUCUAAGACGUUAGGGUUAGAACCCCAACACUCUUUUGGGGAUAAAGUUAACCAAGCACUACAAGAAUUCAGGGCUUUUACCGCCUAAAAUUUAUGGCGUGCAUCGAUGCGUGCCGUAAAAAUGGGUCAUUUACGGCGUGCAUUUAUAGCAUGCCGUAAAUAUAAUGUUAUGUAGAGUUAUUUACGGCGUGCUUCGUAAGUGCGCCGUAAAUGAGAUUGUGUCUCGAGUUAUUUACGGCUUGCAAUAAAAGCACGCCGUAAAUGAAGAGGUAUUUACAACAUUCCUUUAUUGCGCACCAUUAAUAAGUAUAUGGUAUUUACUGCGUGCAAUAGUUGCACGCCGUAUUAGGGUUUUAACCAUAGACUCAUGUAUAAAAGAGAAGAGACAGGUUGACUUUGGUCAAAACCGAAACUGGUGUUGACCCGAGCCUAGAACUUUCUCUCUCUCUCCCUCUCCGCCUGCCUCCGCCAUCUCCGGCGUGGCGUAGCCGAUUCCGGCCGCCGCAUGCCGCAAGUUCACCACCAAAAUGUUCGUCUUCCUCUUCUCCACCUUCCUUUACCCACCAAUUCGACUUAGGACCAUAGACUUUUCAAAUUGAAGUCCAAACCUUAACCCCCAAAUCCGAUUUCUGGCCGAAUCUCUUUCUCUCCAAUGAGCCCGUGCUUCGUGAAGGUAAACUCAUCACUUCCCUCUUGUUUUCACUCUUCAUUGAGCUUCAAUUUCCAUAUUAGAGCCCUAAUCCUAUUUCUCUAUUUUGCUACAUAUUUAUGGGUUCCCGUCGAAGUUUUCCGGCGACAGUGUUCUUGAGCUUUCAACGACCUCGUCAAGUUCAGGUGGAGUCCAAAAGCGUUUCAGUCCCUUGUUCUUGGUAACUGGAUUCUAUUUCUUAAAUCAAGUGCUCUUUAAUUUGUUGCUUUCUGCAAUUUCCAUUUCCAAUCUUCACUAUACUCACUUUGAUUUAAUUAGGAUAGUUUCACUACUCUUUUAAAUGAAAUAGAGAAUUUAUAACCUGCUGGAAAUCAAAUGGUUUGUUCGAAAAGAAUCAUAUGAUAUUUACAUUAUAGUUUUUCUUUACUAAUAUACAUACAUACUCGAUCUAUCAUACUCAUUGAUCGGUAUUUUCACUUUUUAGAGGAUAUUGAGAAUUUAUAACCUGUUUGAAAUCAAUGAUAUAGGUAUUAUAUUUUCCCUUUAUCUAGCUUAAUCAGUUUUUCUAGCUUAAUCAGUUUUUAAUUACCUGGGAUAUAUAUAUAUAUAUAUAUAUAUAUAUGAUCGAGUAUCAGUUUCUUCUUUAGAUCGAUCCCAGAAAAUAGAAAAAACGAAGAGUGCAUGAAAUUAUAUAAAAUACUUAGAAUUAAGGAUGAUCUGGAUCUCCUCAGUUAAAUUGAUUUCAUCUACUAAAAGAGGUUUUUUUGUUAGUUUUCGUUAUGUUAGCUAGCUCCUUGGUCUUCUUAAAAUACUUUUGUGCUUCACAGAGAUAAGAGAACACUGGAUCUUAGGUUGUUAUCAUAGUCCAGCUUGUCACUCCAGGUUGAUCAAUGUGUACGGAUCGCUCAAUUGGUUGUCAAGAUUAAAUAAGAACGCAAGAAGAUAAUUAGUCCUAUUGAUUUCUAUCAUAAACAGCUUUUACCUGGAAGAUAAUAUAGUCAAUUGGGUGCAAUGAUAAAAGUAACUCACUCAAUCUAUCGUACUAAGAAGAGUAAUAAUAUACAGAAAAUCUUCAUCAUCCUCAUCAUAUUAUAGUCAGUUGGGUUAGAUUUUAUAAUUCGGAUUGCAACAAGGAACAAUCCAGUGGGGCAUGAGCGUGAAAAAGUUUCCUUACCAAGAUAACCUGAUGGUGAAUAUAUCAAGGUUACAAGCGCAAAGGCUUUGUGAAUUCGUUUUAGUGAUCGAAAUACGAUAUAUACAUGGCUGAAUACACCAAAGUAAUUACAAGGGUUAUAUCUGUAUGUAUAAUGGUGAAAUUUGAGUGCUGCUAUAUGUAAUUAUAAAAUCCUUACCCCUUGAAAUUUGGCUUUAUGGAAUCUAAUCUGGAUUUUCUGAAGUAUAUUUCCAAUGGGUCCUAUAUUUCCAAGUUCAUGAAAUUCUAUUGUAGCUCAUUCUGUUUCUUUGUGUUUUGAUUCGGUUGCUUGUGCUUUCUGAUUGUGUAUUACCAAUUUGUGUUCCCAAGUUCAAGUUGGUGCCUUAUUGAGCAAUUAGUAUUCGUGCUUCCUGUAAUUGUUUGUGUUCAUUUUAGUUUGAUAUUUGCUUUGCUGAAUGAUCUGAAUUUUGCUAGUUUGGGUGUUGUAGGUGAUUCAUGUCCAUCUCGUGGUUGAUGACUAUGUACUUGAAGGUCUUAUGAUUACCGCAAAGCAGGUAUUACUUUUUCCAUAAACAUAAAAAUGAGUUUUGAUUCUAGGGUGAUAGAAAAAAUUUGAUCUUUCAUCCGUGGCAAGCUGUUCAAUGAUAUUUGGUUUCUUUCAGCUUGUUAUGCCUUCCAAUCAGAUGAUAAGUCAUAAUUGUUAACCAUGUCAAUAUGGCCAAAGGGUAAGUAGAAGUUCAUAGAUGCACAAUUACAACUUUGUUUAGCUGAAUUUGAUGCAGUUGUUUAGCUGAAUUUGAUAAUAUCGUCGUUUUAGGUUGCGGCUACAAAAAACAAGUGGGAGCAAUGAUAUCGAUCGACCACAGGCUCUUCAAGGGAGACCUCUUUGGAGAAGCAUAUUGAAAGGAACCUAAAUUCAGUGUCUGUUGUAGCAUAUAUAUAGGUAAUUAACUUUAAUGUACUUUAAGUCAUGUUUGGUCAUUUGCUUACUAGCUUGAUGUAAUGAGUUAUAUUAAUACAUUCUAAAUUGUUACUUUGUAAAUGACAUUAGUUAUAUUGAUGGUAAUUUGAGUAUGACAUUUGAGUAAGAAGAUUUUUUUUUUUAUUUGAACAUACCUUAUUUACGGCAUGUAGUGUGCGCCUUAAAAGAUGAUGAUAAAUGACCUAAAUGACAUUUAUGGAAUUACUUUUACGGAUUGUUAAUUAUUUUUUUAUGACGUAUUUUUGCACGCCAUAAAAGAUAUUAGUCUUUUAUGGCCCGAGCUUUUACUGCCUACUUUUGUACGCCGUAAAAAGGCUUUUACGGCGUGCAUUGCGGGUCGUAAAAGAUCAUUUUUGGCGUAGUGAAGAGAGAAGUUCCAGAAUGGGAAUCUGCAAUUGUAUUACAAGUUUACAACCACCAUCACAAUCCAUCACAAUAUCAUGCAUAGAAGUAUGUUCAAGUCCUAUCAGGUAUACAUCUCCAUUGAAAAAUUUGAAAGUAGAAUAUCGAAUAUGCUUUUUUUUACAUAAAAUUAUAAUAAAAGUAAAAGUAGACAUACCAAUUGGUUUAUCCCCAACAAUCUAAAAUCCAAUUUGGAUGACGAGAACUGAACCUCGUAAUUUGUGAACAAGCAAAAUAGCGAGACUGAGGGGUUGAGAGAUGGAGACAAAGAGAGAUUUAGAGAUAGAUGAUGAAAAUUUUGGAAUGCUCGCCUAUUUAUAGAGAGAUUUUGAAGAAGAUGAAUAAUCUUCUUCAUAACUUGGUAACGGGUACUCGAUUUGCUUCAUUUUUGCUAGUAUAUUACACGAAAUGCUGAAAAUUGUUGGAGAUUGCGCGAUUUAUGUUUAGUUUUUUUUUUUCGAUAUCUUCAUUAAAAAAGAUUUUGGGACCCUAAAUUUUAGGUUAAGGCUUAUCACCUUGCUUGCCCUGAACAAGUGCUGGGCCUGUAUAAGUACUGUUUAAGCAUUCAGAUUGUCGUUUGUUUAUUUAGAUCGUUAGAGAUUUAGUUCAUUUGUAGGCUCCCUUUAAGGAUGAGGUUGUUUUAUGCACACCAAUAGGAGUUGACACACAAACUGUAUCCAGGAACACAGAUAUAUAGGAUACUAAGAUGGAUUGCGAGUCCUUAUAGAAAUAUUUUAAACAGUUUUAUUAUAGGAUAGAAUAGAAAUUAUGUUGAACAAUCAUGCAGUACAUGUAAGUACGUAGUGUAGUAAAAUAGGGCUGUAUAACGUAAAAGCUCCCUCUUGAUAUUUCUCUUAUUCAUAUUCACUAUUUGACUAAAGUUUGACGGUACUAUGGAGCGCUUGGUGUUGGUGUAUUUCCACUCCUUCCACAGAUCCCUGCAAAGUAAACAAAAUGGACAAGGUAUAUAUGGUAUUAGUUUAGUGAAGGAAACACUAGCACCGGCCACUUUAGUUGAACCCCUAAAAAUGGGAAUGGGAUCACUUCAAGUCUUCAACCAACUAGUUAUAUAUCUGAUAAAUCCUCUGAUAAACUUUUUCUGGAAAAGAAAAUGAAAUCGCACUUAUAUGUAUAUCAACUGAAUAAUAUUGUUGUUUGUUCGUAGGAACCCAUUAAUAAUGGAGAGAAAAACAAAUACCAUGAAUGGGGGUGGAGCCGCAGAACUCUCUAUUAAGGGUAACGCCCAUCCGACGAGGGUGGCGAUGAGUAGAAAUCCGGUUUGAGGGAGGAGAUGACAGACCGAUUGAGUUGUGUUGAGCUUGGUUGGAUGCAUAUGCAUGAAGAAUGGUAUUAGUUGAUAUGAAGGAAGAGAAGAAGAUCAGGCCUAGAAAGAAGAUGCGAUGAUUCAUCACCAUGUCUCCGUUCAGUUUAGAAUGAUUUCUCACCUAGUACUGCAGGCUAUUUAUACAGUUAUACGUUGGGGGAUGAGGACUAAUUUGAUGCAUUUAAGGAAAGUUAAUAACGCUGAUUGAGACCCCCAACCAGAAAGUCCAUAACCCAAUCUGACGGGCAUUACAUUUUCCAUAUCAGUUGAGAGAGAUCAUGACUUUAGAACCAAUUGAACGAAAAUGCAUAUUAUGAGUCGCUAUUGGGUAAUUAGCAAGUGUGUAUGUUCUAGGUGAUUCCUAUAAAAUCAGUGCGAUUUGAGUGGCGUAUUGAGGAAGAAUAAAAAGUUACAUCUAUUCCUGAGAAUAAAUCACUCAUCUUACUAGUUUGAAUUACCUUGAUGAGAUGAGUUGGGGAUGUACUCUGUCUCCUUACAAGGAUCCCAGAGGACGUCAAAGCAUGACCCCCUCGAUGCAUGCAUAUGCUUAUCAGAAUGGGGAGUGCAUGAAUUUCCUAAUGAAAUUAGAAGCUGAGGGACUGAAUUGAUAAAAACCCUUUUCAGAUAUAGGAUAUGAGUUUUAUGUAAUUAAGAGAAGAAGAAGAGUAAUUAAGAGAAAAAAAACAAUCAAGUACCGAUAUCUAAAAACAGUAUCGUGAGAACAAAGAGUACUAUGCCUUGCAUAAUAAGCAACACAAAAAUACACUGAAAUUAAGAAUAUAGAAUCAUCUUGUAGCCUCAUAAGAAUUCCUUCCAACCAGCUUGUCUUGCAAACUGUCCAAUCGAUCUCAUUCAAAAUUUGAGCCUAUCUUGUACAGUAUUCAGGAAUUUGAAAUAUGCAUCUCUCCAGGUCUUGAUAAGCACUAAUGACCCACAAACUCCCACUAACCCUAUAGUGAAGCCAAGCACAAAUAUGCAAGCCUAGAAUUUGAUUCCCGUCAUUAGUAUCAUCAUCUGAAUCAGUACCAUUGAAUGGUUGACACAGAUUUAGAAGCGGGGAACCACAAAGCUUCGGAUUCCCCUCAAAUGCUGAGACAUUCAAUCCUCGGAGCUGAGUGCUUUUUGGUAUUUCUCCUUCCAAAUUAUUGUAUGAGACAUUUAAAGAUGACAAGAAACUAAGAAGCGCCAAUGAAGCUGGGAUUUCUCCUGACAAAUGAUUCAUUGAAAGAUCCAGAGUCUCCAAGUUGUUGAGAUUCGAUAUUUGGUCUGGAAUGUUGCCGGACACCUGGUUGGCGCUGAGAUCCAAUAUAUGGAGAAGUUGCAACUUCCCGAUUUCAGUAGGUAUAUUGCCACUGAUGCUAUUGUUGCCUAACAAUAUAGAUGGUGGAUAGAAAGACAAAGAAUUGAACUGUAAAAUGCUUGCAGCAGGCAUGGCUUGGGAGGCGUAGAAAGGCAAUUCAAGAUAACCAUGAUCUAGUUGAGCUGCAGCUUGUUCAGAUACCAACAUUGGUAGUGUGCAAAGUUCUUUUGGAAUUUGACCUGAGAUUAGGUUGGACCCCAAGUUUAUAGAAGAAAGUGUUGGAGAAGUCCCCAACCAAGUAGGAACUGAGCCUGUGAUUCUAUUAAGUGACAUAUCCAAGAUCUCUAGCUUCUUGAGCUUAGACAACCAUAUAGGUAUCUGACCGGUGAGCUCACAACCACGCAAAGCCAAAAUCCUAAGAUUUUGGAAUCCAUCAAAAUCAGCCAUGUGAUCACCAUCUGGAAUUUCUUCACCUAUAAAAGUGGUUGAAAGAAUGAGUACAGUGACAUUUCUGCAGCCCUUCAAUAUAUCCAUAGCGCCUGUGAGAUUGGUCAGUCUGUUCCCAGAAAGUGAGAGGAAGGAUAAGUGCUUUAAUGAGACAAUCUCCGGUUGUAUUUGUCGUUCUAGGUUGUUUAAGCUUAAUCGAAUUGCUCUAAGGGACUUGCAUGAGUAAAGGCUUACUGGCAAGAUACCAGGAAAUUGUUUACUGAUGAAGUCAAGUUUACGAAGUUGACCAAAUCUAGAGAAAUUAUAAGCUGAGAUAUCUCCGUCCAAAAGGUUGAAUCCUAGAUUCAGUUCCAUAAGGUUUGUGCAAUUCAGCAAAGAUGGUGGCAAAGAACCUUCUAGAUUGUUGGAAUGAAGGAGCAGGACUAUCAAUUUGGAAAGCUUCCCAAUAUCUAUUGGAAGCAUGCCACUGAAAUGAUUUAAGUAGAGGUCAAGGAUUGUGAGGUUAGUGAGGUUAACAAUUCUGUUACUAAUGCCCCCAUGAAAAGAAUUUGCGGGGAUUGCAAUUUCUUUUAGUGAGGUAGCAUCAUAGAUAUAUUCUGGAAGUGAUCCUGAGAGGUUAUUGUAACCAGCACGAAAAACUUCCAGUUUGGAACAGUUUCCUAGUGUGCGAGAGAGAUUGCCUCCAAAAUUAUUGUAGGAAAAAUCUAAUAGCCUAAUCAAAGAAGAGUGGACACUGAUGGUUUUUAGAAGUGGUUAUGAUACCACUCUUAGAAAUUGUUAUGUGCGGAAGCUAUUAGUGGUGAUGGGCUAGAACAAAGUGUUUAGGACUUUGGUAUAUAGGAGCUAAACUUGGGAGAAUGUUGUUAUUAGGACAAGGUUAUUAUGACAACUAGUUUAGGAGGAUAGAAGGGUUUAGAGGAGAAUUAGAAACAGAGGAGGGCUACUUCAGUUGAAUGCUUUCUUCAUUCAUUCAUAAGUUUGUUACUUGUUGGAUUACAUUGCAUACAUAUUUAUAGAGGUCAUUAACCGACCUUGCAUAGUAGCCACCGACCUAAUGGUCUUCUCUAGAACAUCCUAGACCACUUAGCUAGCUUUAGAUUAUUACACUUCUUUCAUGAUCAUUUUAUAUUAAUCUAGAUUAUUCUAGCUAGCUCUAUCACUUCCUUAGACUUUUCUAGACAACUUGAUCAAUGUAGAACAUUCUAGAUAUGUUUCAAUGCACAUUACUUUCUAACAGACACAAAUAGGGGACGGGAUAUAACCUAGGAAUUGGUUGUUCGUGACAUUGAAAUGAGACAGGUUCUUUGCUUGUUGGGAGAAGGAUGAUGGAAUUGCACCAUGGAAUUGAUUGCUAGACAAAUCCACCAUCCGAAUAUUAUUGGAUGAUGAUAGAGAACCUGGUAGCUCUCCAGAAAGAAAGUUAAAACUCAAAUCAAGUAUCUCAAGAAGACCCAGGGACAAGAAGAAUCCAGCUUGAUCUAAAGAACCAUGAAGUGAAUUGCGAGAGAGAUUGAGGUAGGUUAGAUGUGUGAGAUUACUGAGUGAUGAUGAGGAAAAAAGACCUCCUUUGAGUUUGAGGCCUUUGGAGGAUAGGUGCAAAUGGGUUACUCGACCAACCGCAUCGCAAGUAAUGCCUUCCCAUUUGCAACAAUCCAAGCUGGUCCAAUUUAAGGAAGGAUAAGACAGAGUGAGGGCAAAAGACAAGAGAGAGGUACUUUCACUUGAGGAGCAUGAAUGAAUAUGUGUAGAUGAAAUGGAGCCAAGUAGAAUAAGAAGCAAGUAUUGAGCUAUUGGGUGAUAAGGUUGCACUGCUAGCAUCUUUCUUGGUUUCUCAGACAGUUUAGGUUUAGUUUGACUUGCUCACCUAUCCUUGUGCUUGUUUAUAUAUCAAGAGUCAUAAGCAAGAGCCUUCACUUUUGUGUUAGCUUCGAUUCUUGAAACAAUAGUAGUGUUCAUGGGGAAAAUUAUCACGUACUUACAAAAUACAAACCGAAGAUUUAGCAGGGAACUCUCAGAACCACAAACUAUCACGUUUGACGUUUGAAUUCUGACGAAGGGGCAUGUCGACCUCCAUUGGAGGAACCGAGUCUGAUGACCUUCUAUUAAUUUUUCAUUGACGCCGGAGUCACUUAGACACUGACGUUUGAUGCACGCAUGUAGACAAUCUCGAUUGCAUUUUGAAGUGAAGAUUGAAAGACUAAGAUCACGUUUGGCUCGGUGAGUAGUGUUUAUCAUCAAGGCAGUCAUUGUCGUCUCAAGUCUGAACGGUUAAAUUAAGUCCAUGUUGGGGUGCUGUGCUGUGGCUGACUUUUUUGAAAUGUCGAUUUCUUUGAAAUAGCUGGGCCAUCCUGGACAUGAACCAGAGACCUCGCCGUGAUCGGCUGUUAGGGCGAUGGGGACGAUAGAGAGUCCUCUAGUGUGUGAGCUGUGACUUAAUGUGAGGUUGAAAGUUAAGGGAGCGAAAUAUUUGAACUCUCCCAAAGGCUCACAUACCCGAAUUCUCUGCAACUGAGCUGGUCCCUUGCCUAAGAAUAAGGGAUCGUUCUCUUUUAUUUAUUUUUUGUUCUUAUUUGCUUAUAAAGGCUAGGUACUAGCUAGCCAGCUAGCUAGGUUUCUUAUUAGUCAUAAGUCAUACCGUAGAAGAUUAUUUCCUUGUGCUCACUGGAGUACUGUUUAAGGCUUAAAGCAAUCAGAUCGACAGAAAAAUGAACAUGGAUACUGAGAUGGAUUGCGAGUCAUUAUAGAAAUAUUUGUAACAGUUUCCUUAUAGGAAUAGGAUACAUUAUGUUGAAUUGUCAUAGUAUAUGAAGUAGCUAGCUAGUGAGUAAAAUAGGGCUUGUAUUACACAACAGCAAGAGUGAACAACAUUAGUGUUCCCUCUUGCUUGAUAGUACUCUUAUUGUACUAUUUGACUAUAUAUAGUUUGAAGGUCCUUUGGAGCGCUUGGUACUGGAUGACGUGCUCCAAUGAUCCCUGCAAAGUAAACAAAAUGGACAAGGUACAUAUGGUAUUAGUUAGCACCACUUUAGUUACCCCUAAAAUUGAGAAUGGGAUCACUUCAACCAACUAGUUAUAUAUCUGAUACACGUUUUUUUCUGGAUAAGAAAAUGAAACCACUCAUAUACAUCAACUGGAUUGUAUUGUUAUGGGUUAGACAGGAACCGAUAAUGGAGAGAAAAACAAGUACCUCCAAGGGGGGUGCCGGGUUCUGGAUGAAGGGAGACCAAACGGUUGUGAUUACACUUGGUAAUGCCCAUCCGACGAGGGUGACAAUGAAUAGAAAUCUGGUUUGAGGGAGUAGAUGACAGACCAAGUGAGCUGUGUUGAGAUUGGUUGGAAGCAGAUGCAUGAAGAGUGUUAUUAGUAGAUAUAAAGGAGGAGAAGAAGAUCAGGAGGAGAAAGAAGCUGCCCUGAGCCAUCGCCAUAUCUUCGUUAAAGGUUAGUAUGAUUUCUCACCUAGUCUUCCAAGCUAUUUAUAUACAUACUGUUAAUACAUAGCUAAAACAUUUGGUCAUACCGAGAAUGUAACGUCAUUACCCGGUAGCCGGAGAUCAUUCCGGCCUACGCGCCGCCAGCAAGGCCUUCAUAGGCACCCAAACAGUGGAGACACAACAACAAUACACAUGCCAGACCCAUUCUGCAAUAGCUAAACUCCCCCGAAAGGAGGGAGAUUGAACAAUGCCAUAAAACAGUCCCACAUCGGGAACUAACGGCAAAACCCCCAAUGCUAGCCUAUAAAACAGGCACAGAUCCCCAAAUAAGGUAAGUUCAUAACUCCUCCCAUACUCCCGUACUAUACAAGUAGCAACUCAACGCUACCUUAAGCAUCGAAGAGUCGAAGAUUGGGCCACCCUAGUUCCGACUCCUGACGUAUUGUUACUUGUGCAGCCCCAGGACCCGGAGCCAAGGAUUCGACCUCCCGUCUCGUGAUCUCGGGAGAAGUAGAAACAAUUGGCGCUAGAAGGAGGGGAACCCUCUUGUGGAACUCUCAUUUUAACUUAAAAAGAUGGUGGAAAUUAGAGAUGUCCCAAACGAACCCGAGACCCACAUAGAAAAGGAACUUUUCCAAUCUGAAGACGCCUCCCUUAACCAAGCUACCGCAUCUAUGGGCCAUGUUAACCACCCUGAUGCCGCUACAACCCUCGAAAUCUUAAAAAAGGACUUCCAUUCGUUCCGAGAGCAAGCGGUUAAGGAUAAGGCAGAGGCCGAAGCGUACCGAGUACGCAUCGCUGAGCUGGAAAAGGAAAAAUUCCUACUCCGCCCCACUCUGGAUCACCGUAACACCUACAAUGAAACCUUAGAGCGGGCAGCGAGGGUCACUCCCACCCCGGAUCCCACCUUGACAUCUCUUUUUCUUAACCAAGGACAGAACAGUUCCAUGCUCUUGGGAGGUCCCAACCAGAUCAUCUAUGUCACUCAUCCACUCAUCCAUCCAUCUUUUCUACUCCCAGCCCCUCAACCAUCUACACUCAAUAAUGAGUCCAUUCCCCCGAUAAACCGACCCGAGCAAUCUGAUACUCCAUCCCAACCCUAAUCCCACCUCUGCCAACCCACCUCUCGACAUACAAACCCGACUUCUCCUCCAGCUCAGCAAUUCUGUCAACUAGUUGGCCUCCCGAAUUGAGAGCGUCGAGAGUCGCGGGAGCCAACGACCUCUAUUCUCGGGGUAUGGACACCGCCCAAGUCCCUUCACGCCACGAGUUCAGCUAGAUAAGAGAACACCCGAGGCCAAACCUUUCAAGAUAUAAGGGUACCAGGGACCCCCACCUCCACCUUGAAACAUUCCUCUAAAUUGUGCAGCUCCACCCGGUACACAGAUGUCAUGGCCUAUCAUGCCUUCCAAGAAACCCUCUCAGAUGAAGCACUUAGUUGGUUCCUCAACUUGCCCCCCAACUCCAUUGACAAUUUUUAUCAACUCUCGGAGCGCUUGCUCAACCGUUUCAUACUCCAUGCCAGCAUCUACAGAAGUGUGGAUGCCUUGUUUAACAUUAAGCAAAAAGAGGGUGAAGGACUUCAUGCAUUCCUAUCCAGGUGGCAAUCAGCCACGGCACGCUACCACAACCUGGAACCCCGAGUCGCUGAACAAGCUUUUCGCCAAGCCUUGCUUCCGGACAGUUUCCUAAUGGAGGUUAAUAGGAACCCUCCAGGGUCAUACGAUGCCUUGAUGGACCUUGAUGUCCGAUGGGCACGUGCUGAGUUUGCCACAUUUGGGCACUCCAAUCAAACCACCACAUUAGCUCUUCCAGCCCCACCCCCCCAAGUAACAAUCCCAACAGAAAUAUAACCAUUAUGACAGAAACAAGUAGCAUGGCAGCAGCCGAGAUAACAACCAGGGGCGUGCGUGGUUCAGACCGCCGCCAUAAUGGACAACGAGGACGGGACCAUCCUUAUCGGUCCCGAGAGCAGAGCCCCUAGCAGCAACGUCGCUCUUCCCCACCACCCCAUUACGAAGUCCACACUACCCUGACCACUACAUAUGAAGACAUCUGGGCCAAGCACAAAGACCUCAUUCCCCCGCCACCCAAGAGUAAGUACCCCAAGAAGCCCCGACGGGCCACAGGGAACAAGUAUUGUGCUUAUCAUGAUGACAAUGGCCACACCACUGAGAUGUGGCAAGGCCUCCGUAAUGCAAUCGAGCAUUUAAUCCGAAACGGGCAACUCCACUAGUAUUGCACUCCCACAACGGGAGCUAACGCCAUCGAGGUUCAUGGCCAGAUCCUAACCCUGCAUGGCGGAGCCCCACGACUUCCCCCUCGUCAACCCUCUGCCAAAAGGCAAUGUACAACUCCUUUGGAAAUUCUCGAGUUGCAAAGAGGUGUCACCGCCACCCCAUCAGCAUGGGACCAGGUGUCAUUUCACAAAAGGGAAGACACGAUAAAUUGCCACCAUAAUGAGCCAUUCAUAAUCAAUGUCCAAGUAGAUCACUACAGGUGCCAUAGAGCCCUCGUGAACACAGGAGCUGCAGUCAGUGUAAUGUUUGUUGAUUGCUAUACAGGGCUCCGGCGUGACCGAGCUAAACUGUAUAAAAAUCAUAAUCCUCUUGUCAGUUUCUCAGGAGAGAUUGUAUAGCCCUUAGGCUCGGACCGCUUGACAGUUUCGGUGGGAGCCAACCCCUGUCGUGCUCCUAUCACGGCACGUUUUCUCAUAGUUGAUUGUCCCUCAUCCUAUAACAUCAUCUUGGGCCGCGACAUCAUUUGGGGACUACAAUGCUUCAUUGCAGGUCACAUGCUACUCAUGAAAGUGCUUACCCUGGGAGGCAUACUUACAAUCCAAGGAGAUAGGGCAACCAUUGAACACUGCCACCUCAAUGCCAUUCAGCAAGGGCGUGGUGCCUAUGAGAUGUUGCCACUCAGCCCCUUUGAGCCCAUUGAUGACCCUAGGGAUGACCCUGACGGGAAAGAAAAGAAGAAGCAGAUCCCAAGGCCUAACCCGACAGAAGAGACAGAGUGGGUCUCCCUAUUACCUAGUGCUCCUGAGAGGAAAGUCCGCAUAGGCACAAACCUUAACCCGGAACUCCGCGAAAAGCUCAUUACCUUUCUCCAGGAUAAGCAAGUAGUCUUUUCUUAGUCCUAUGCUGACAUGCCAGACAUCUCCCCUGAUGUCAUCACACACAAACUCAACAUCCUCAAGGACUAUCCCCCUGUCAAGCAGAAAAGGCGUGCCUUUAACCCGGAAAAGUAUCGAGCUAUACAAGCCGAGGUUCAAAGAUUGAAGGAGAUCAAGUUCAUCCGAGAGGUCUCCUACCCAGUCUGGGUUUCCAAUGUUGUCAUGGUUCCUAAGCCCAAUGGGAAAUGGCGAAUGUGUGUUGAUUACACUAACCUCAAGAAAGCAUGUCCCAUGGACAGCUUCUCCUUGCCACGGAUUGACCAGUUGGUUGACUCCACAGCUGAUUAUAAGAUGCUCAGUUUUCUGGAUACCUACUUGGGAUAUAACCAGAUUAAGAUGCACCCGGCAGAUCAAGAGCACACCACUUUUGUUACAGACAAGGGUCUAUACUGUUACGGGGUCAUGCUGAUAGGUGCAUAAUUAUACAUUAUUUGUAUCAAAAUCCUCUAUACUUUCUUUGUUUGUUCAGUGUAUUUUCUAGUUAUUUACUUUGUUUCUUUGUUUUCUAGGUGUUCCGAAGCAAAUAAGAAGAAAAGAAGGAAAAGAGGGAGUGGAAGACGAAAUUCAGAAAUUUGCCUUUGAAAGUCAGCCAAAUACGACGGAGGACUAAGGGCAGCUCGAGAAGAACCAGAUGAUGAGUCUUAUAUCAACGGAAAGUUACGGAUGUCAGCUUUCCAUAGCAUUUUACGGUUCAUGAAUAUGUUUUUCCUAGAAGAAGUUAUGGACAAUUUAGUACCAUAAGGUCAAUCUGCGCGCGAAUCUGACUCUUGAUGGGAAUUUGUGUUUUGAGGCCCAAAUCACACCGGGAGGCCCAUGGACGAGUUUGUACUUCAUUAUCCAACUUAUUAUCUCGAUGUGAAGCUGAUUAUGAAUAAUUAAAUGAGUUGGCACACUUACAUUGGUCCUACAGAUGUACACCAAUCAAAAUGUCCAAGGAAACCUAAAUCAAGAAGGAUUGGUUGAAAGAAGCAAUAUAAAAGCCUGUGCUAUCAUUCUUGACGGCUUCCUCUUCUUCUUCUCCGCUCCUCCUCCCAUUCUUCUGUUUUUGUUAUAAUGUCUAUUUAGUUUCUCUUGGUUAGGGGCUGCUUGAAGCCCUAGACAUGAACAACAAGAUUAUUUGAGUUUUGGUUUUAGUUUCAUUUAAUCCAAGAUGAGAUUUGGUUUACUAUUAUUGCAUUGACGAAUUGUUUUCUUGUAUGUUUUGAGUGCACGCUUGGUAUACAGUUAGGGUUCUAUAUAGCUUUGAUAGUUUGAUGCCAGUGUCAAUAUCGGACUCCUCAAACUAUCUAGAGAAGCAAUUGUUAGUUUUUGCUAGCAAGUAAACUAAAUCCUAGGUUUAGCAAGGCGCUAAGUUUAUUGCGAUGUCUUGUGAUGUCUCAAAUCCUUUUAGAACUUAAGGAUCUCUGCAUGUUUAAUCUAAUAAGCAUACUUUUAGAUUGCAUUGCUUGAGAAUAGUUUAGGUGUAGAGCACUUCCUGCCUAGCGUACGAAGUAAGAAAGGGUAAUAGGUUGUGUUUCAAGCGUACCGAACCAACCUGAGCAUCUUCAUCUAGAUUAAUUAAACUAUAACUGAACAAAUUGUCUCACGUGUGAUUGUCGGGGUGGAUUGCAUCUUCCCUAGCUAGUUUUAUCUCAUUGUUUCCCAAAACCAAAACCAAAAUCAGUUUUAGUCACUAUUCUGUCCUCUGUUUUUCAGUAUUUAUUUGGCAUAGUAAACGAACUUCGAUUCAUCUGAAUUUUUGUGUGUGAGUCCGUCUGUGUGUCUAGUUCGAGUCUGUAAAUUCUUGUAUUUUUCUGACUUGUUUAGGUUAGUCAACUAAUUAGGUUUUCGACUGCUGUUCGCUAGGAUCAGUAGCCACUUUUGUGACAUCUUUUGAGUAGUUGGAUUCAUUUAGUCCUCUGCGGGAAUGACCCUUAUUUACCAAUACUAUAAAUGAUGAUCUAGUAGUGAAUAGGGAAAAUAAAUUGGUUUAGAAAUAACUGAUCACUCACACAAAUCCCAAGGGCCAAGAACUCUAAAGCUGAUGCCCUCGCGAGACUAGCCACAGCCCCUCUCAAGUCCACGCCACCUAGUAUCUCAAAGGCUUACUCAGAAAUCUUUGCCCUCGAGACGACUAGCCAGCCCUCAUGGAUGGACCCAUAUGUGGCCUUCCUUUCUAAUGGCACCUUGCCCUUGGACAGAAAAGAAGCACACCGGUUGCACCACAAGGCUUCACUUUACCUGCUUAGGGGCGGUAAGCUGUAUCGUCGUGGCCAGUCAUGUCCCUUCCUGAAAUGUUUACCUACAGAAGAAGGGCACAAGGUAUUAAGGUCACUCCACAGUGGGGUCUGUGGAAACCAUGCAGGGGCCCGGAACCUCAUGUUCAAAGCACUCCGAGCUGGGUAUUACUGGCCCACACUAGAACAAGAUGCAAAAGCAAUUGUCCGAGCAUGCCUCCAAUGCCACAAAUUUGCUAAUUUUGCUCAUCACCCCCCAGUGCCACUAUAUGUUAUCGUCUCCCUAGUCCCUUUCAGUCAGUGGGGAUUCGACUUCGUGGGACGGUUGCCAACAGCCUCGGGACAACUCAAGUUUGCAAUCGUCCUAGUAGACUACAACACGAAGUGGAUAGAGGCAGAACCCUUUGCCACAAUCACAACUGAAAAGGUGAUUAACUUCCUAUGGCGAAAUCUGUACUGCCAGUUUGGGGUGCCACAGGCCAUCAUCACGGAUAACGGGACACAAUUUGACAACGACACAUUCAGAGAAUUCCUCUCCAAGCAAGGCACCAUAAUCUUCUAUGCCUCCCCAGCACACCUUCAAACCAAUCGCCAGGUGGAAGCCAUAAACAAGCUCAUCAAACAGAACUUGAAGAAACGGCUAGAAGACGCCAAAGGGUUAUGGGCAGCCAAGCUCCCAGAAGUCCUUUGGGCACUGCGUACCACCCCAUAAACAGCUACAGCUGAAUCCCCAUACCUCCUGUCCUAUAGCACCGAGGCAGUGAUUCCAAUGGAAAUGGAGGUCCCGAGUGAACGUGUCGCGGCAUACGACCUCAAGACAAACGUCAAAUGGUUAAGACUUAACAUGGACCUCUUGGAGGAACGCCGGAACAGGGCACAUCUCAGGAAUGUCAACAACAAGCAAAAAAUUGCCCAACACUACAACAAGAAAGUUGUCUCCUGCCCCCUGAAGGUAGGUGAUUGGGUCAUAAAAGAAGUCAUUCCCCACCCCUACGGGACUCAAGGCAAAGUGGGAAGGCCCACUAGAGAGAGUCAAUGCCCUGAGACUAGCUACAUUCUAUCUCCGCGACACCGAUGGCUGGGUACUACCCCACCCCUGGAACGCUCGCCACCUCCACUAAUAGGAACAUAAAUAUGCGACGAUAUGAUGGUUAAUUCCCCUCUUUACUUUAUUAGUUUAUCGUAUUUUCCAUUUAAUUUAGUUAUUUUUAUGUUUAUUAGGUGUUUCGGAGCAAAGAAAGGAAUAUGAAGCAAAAAAGGAGAAAUCUUGAAGGAUUAGGAAUUCAUGUCGUGCAAGGAAAGAAUUAUGAGAUCUGCCAGAACUUAUCAUCUAACUUCGACAGAGGAUUGUGAUCAGCUCACAACGAUCCAGACAAUGAGUUAUAUAUCAAUAGAAAGCUACAAGAGUCUACUUUCUAGAACAUUUUACGGAUCGUCAAUACCUAUUUUGGAGAAGAAUUUAUGAUCAUUUUAGUGGCCGAAGGUCAGUCUGCCCGAAUUUCUGAUUUGGACCGUAACUUCAAUUUCAAGGCCCAAUCCAAAUCAGCUGGCCCAUGGGCGGAAAUUGAGGGUUCUCUAACCUAAUAUCAUCUGAUACACGAGAGGAAACGAAGGAGAAGAAGAAGUCGGGAAGAAAAGAACACAAGAAUCGGACGGAACAAGAUUGAUCUCUUCUCAAGGAUUCUCCAAGCUCGGUUAUUGUUGUCUUCCCCUUCCAUAUGAACUCUUUUGUGUUUUUAAUUUUCAUUAUGUGCAACUAAACUCAUAGUAGCUAGGGGCUGAUGAAGCCCCUAGACAUGAUUCAUAACAUGCUUUGAUUUUCAAUUUGUUUUUGCAAUUAAUAAGAUUGAGGUUUUGUUUACCUAUUGUUCAUCGAUGAAUUCUUUGUGUGUGUGCUUUGGAGGCCUACUUAGUAUACAUGCUAGGGUUCUAAUACUUUGAUUAUUUGAUGCCUGGGUCAAUAUCGGAUCCCUCAAAUUGUCUAGAGAAGUAAUCGGUAGUUUUCACUAAUGAGUAGACGAAACCCUAGUUUUAGCAAGGCGCUAAGUUUAUUGCGAUGCCUAGUGAUUGCUCAAACUCUUUUCAUGCUUAUUGAUCUCUGCUUGUUUAACCUAAUAAACAUACCUUUAGGUUACAAUGUUUGAGAAUAGUUUAGGUGUAGAGCACUUCCUGCCUAACGUACAAAGUACGAAAGAGUAAUAGAUUGUGCUCAAGCAUACCAAGUCAAUCUGAGCACCUUCAAUUGAGUUAGUUGGUCAUAAAUUGGACAAAGUGUGUUGUGUGUGAUUGUCGGGGGUGGAUACUUUCUCCCUAGCUAGUCUCAUUAUCUUGAUUUUCAACUACUUUGAAAUCAGUUUUCAGUUUUCUUAUCUUCUGUUCGUCAUAUUUCCGUAUUUUAUUUCCCUAUCAAAUCAACUCCGAUUAAUCUCAAAUUUUGUGUGGUAGACGCUCUGUGUGUCUAGUACACCUCUGUAAAUUUUCGUGUUUUUCUGAGCAAUCUAGGUUAGGUUUUACUUUUUUUUUUCGACUGUUGUUCAAUAGGAGCUGCAGUCACGUUUUGUGACUUUUGUUGAAGCUUUUAGUUUAACUUAAUCCUCUGCGGGAGACUCUUAUUUCUCUAUAUUAUAAUCGACAAAUUUGCAGGAGAAUAAGGAAAAUAAAUAGCUUUUAAUUUAGCUAUCAAUUUUAUGGCGCCGUGUCGCCGGGGAUUACUUUACAUCUAAUAGCUUCUUUUGUUUUGUGUUUGUUUCUUGUUGUGUUUUAGUUUUUAAUUAGUGUUCUUUGGUCCUCUUUUCAGGUGAAUGCACACUCGAAGGACUGUGCAAGGCGAACUUACCCCUUUGGAUUUGGAGAUAGAACGCUCUUGUAAGUUGAAUAAGAAGCAAUCGAAAGACUCUCGGUUGCCAAUUGAAGACAUAAGGGCAGGUUCUACUUCUUCACAAGAGGAGGAACACGGCAAAUACCAUCAUCACCUACACAUUCAAUUCACGAGGACGAGGACGAGGAAGAGCAAGUAGAGGAACCGCUAAAAGCUAAGAUGGCAUUGAAGGAUUCCUUUGUCCCAACCGCUACAGACUCUCCAUCAUGCAUCGAUUACACACCACUGGGCAAUCAUUCGUUUUUGAUCCCUGUGCAGUUACUUGGACAAUUGCCCAAGUAUACGGGUUCACCAUCUGAGGACCCUAAUGUUCAUAUUAGGGAGUUCUUGGACAUAUGCAAACUACAAACUAUAGCAAAUUUGCCUCCUGAAGGGCUUAAGUUGCUUUUGUUUCCCUUUUCUUUGAAAGAUGAUGCUAAACGUUGGCUUAACUCUUUGCCUGCAUAUGGAUCAUCACUACAUGGGAUGGAAUGGUCAAGAAGUUCCUGAAACAAUUCUUUCCAGCCCAACUGACAAAGAAACUGAGGAGGGAGAUUCAGAAUUUCACUCAGAAAGAUGGUGACACCUUAUAUGAGGCAUGUGAGGAGUUCCAAGAGCUACAAAGGAAGUGUCCCCAUCAUGGUUAUGACUUGGUUCAAUUUUUCUAUGAUGGACUGGACACGAGUAAUAGAGGCAUGGUGGACUCAGCUUGUGGAUGCACAUUCAUGAACAAGACCGGUCAAGAAGCAUACAAUCUUAUUGAUGACUUGGCUGACAAUAACAGGAAAUUUAGCACAAGGGACAAGCGACCUAAAGGCCGUGGAGUAUAUGAGGUUUCAUCAUCAUGGAAUCAAAUGGUGGCAAUGGAGAGAAAGAUUGACAUGUUGGUUAAUGCCAUAGGCAAUGGCUCUAAAGCAUCUCCUCAGGUAUGCUCUAUUUGUUCUUAUUCUGACCAUACUACUAAUAGAUGUCCUAUGUCUUCUUUGUCUGAGGAGCAGGUGAAUUAUGCGGGGCAACAAAGACCUAAAUAUGAUCCUUACUCGAACACGUACAGUCCUGGAUUGAGAGAUCAUCCUAACUUUCGUUGGAGUAAUAAUGACAACGUGAUUCGACCCCCUCAAGGUGCAUACAAUGGACCACUUGGAUUUCAACAAGGAUCAAGGCAGCAACCAUACCAACAAGCUUCACCUCAACAAGCUUCAAGUAAGUCUCUGGAGGAUGCGUUAAAGAAGCUGGCUCUUAACACUUCAUCUUUUAUGCAAGAUACCAAGGCUCUAUUUAAGGAGUAGGGGCAGUCUAUCAAGAACUUGGAGAGACAAGUUGGGCAACUCGCAACGGCGUUGCAAACGAGACCUCAAGGUGUUCUUCCUAGCACAACAGUUCCAAAUCCUAAGGAUGGGAGCAUGGCUGAGCUUAAUGCAGUCACUUUGAGAAGUGGAAAACAAUUAGAGGAGCCUACUAAGCCUCACAAGUUGUGCUUGACAUGGAACCUGAACCUAUGCCGUAUGAUCUUCCUCUCAUCCUAGGUCGUCCAUUCUUGAGAACGGCACGCACCAAGAUAGAUGUGUUUGAAGGAACUUUGACAAUGGAGUUUGAUGGAGAAAUUAUAAGCUUCAACAUCCUUGAAGCUAUGAGGUACCCUUCUGAUAUUUACUCUUGUUUCUCUAUUGAUGUUGUAGAUAUUUUGGUGCAGGAUACCUUUGAUGCAAGUAUGGGGGAAGACGCACUCAAGAAAACUUUGGAACUCGGUUUGACUUCUCAACAAUUAUCGAUCGAUGGGAAUCUAAGGGUGGAUCGUUGGUCGUCUACUCAGAAAAUUUCAGAUUCAUGUUCUAUGGUUUUCCAUGAGGAUUUACUUGAGAUGGCCCCUUUCCUUGAUGCCUCACCUUAUGUACCAGCUAAGUAUACUUCAAAUUUCAUUCCUCUUCCUUUAUCUAAUGAAAAACCUAUCCCUUAUGUGAUUCAGGCACCCAAAUUGGAACUCAAACCUUUGCCGGAGCACUUGAAAUAUGCUUUCUUGGGAGAGAAUGAGAUGUUGUCGGUUAUUAUUGCAGCCAACCUUUCAUUGCAGGAGGAGGAGAAAUUGAUAAGGGUUUUAAGGGAACACAAGUCAGCAAUAGCAUGGAGCAUAGCAGAUAUUAAGGGAAUAAGCCCUUCCGUGUGUAUGCAUCGUAUCCUUUUAGAAGAGGGCACAAAACCAUCAAGAGAGGCUCAAAGGUGUCUUAAUCCGCCUAUGAUGGAGGUGGUGAAGAAAGAGGUUCUCAAACUCCUUGACGUGGGUAUUAUCUAUCCCAUAUCUGAUAGCCAAUGGGUGAGUCCGCACUACCAAAAGAAAGGCUUUAGCCAACGAAAAAAAAAAAACCAUGCCGACAAACUAUUUUUUCGUCGGCUAACAUGGACUUUAGCCGACAAAAUUUUCCUUCGUCGGCUAAUUUAAAUUUUCGUUGGCUAAAAAUUCUUUAGCCGACGAAAUUAAAAUUUUGUCGGCUAAAGUUCACAGACUAUANCCGANNNNNNNNNNNNNNNNNNNNUAUAUAUAUAUAUAUAUGUUAAUUAAUUUUAUAAAUAUUGUGUUGAUGGUAUGAAGUUGUUGAUGAUGAUUUUGUGAUGAUGUAGAUAUAUAUAAUAUUAUAUGUAAUUAUUAAGUAUAUAUAUAUUUGUGUGUGUGUUAAUUAAUUUGUUAUUAAUUAGUUGUAGUACGUAGAAUAUACACUAAAAUGAAUUGAGAUUUUAUAUAUGGCAUGAAAUUUAAUUAAUAAUUAGCUAGCGUUAUACAUAUAUAUUUUGUUAUAUUUUCAGGAUAUGGAUAAGAGUUGGAUUUCGCUUCCAAAAUGGGACAAAAGAUUUGGUAAAGGAGUUAUGAGUUUUCUGGAAUAUGCGCUGGCUAAUGCUAACGGGAAUACAAUUUUCUAUUGCCCGUGCACGAAAUGUCAGUGUCGCAACGAUAUGCAUCGAUUUGCAAUUGACAAAGUAUGGCAGCACCUAAAGAGUAACGGGUUUUGGGAGAAGUACACAUGUUUGUUAUAUCACGGUGAAACAUCAUUAGAGGGUCCGCAUGAUCAUGGGCAAUUUUCUGAGACGGGCAGUACAUCCAACGAUCCAACAACGGCCUUCAUCAAAGACAUGUUUUCUUAUGAGAGCAGUGUAUGCGCUCAAGGACAGUAUAUGCCUGAGCCGGUGCAGCCCUUCCCUAGAGUUGUCAACACUACUGGUAUUGACAAGUACAACAAACUGCUUGCUUUCCAACAGACCCCUGUGUACCCCGGUUGUCAGAAGACCGUUCUUGAAAGUGUGAUGGACGUAAUGAAGAUUAAAGUUGAGACAAAAUCGACCGUGAAGGCUGUCGAUGAUUAUCUAUAGUACACUGCUUCGAUGCUGCCCCACGGUCAUCGUCUUCCUACCACUCAUCAUAAGGUCCGAUGUAUCCUGAAAGAUCUUGGGCUUUCCUACAUCAAGAUCCAUGCAUGCAGAUAUGAUUGCGUUCUCUUCUGGGGUAAAGAUCAAGAAGGGAAUGACCUUGGUGGCCUUGACACAUGUCUGGUAUGUCACACUGACAGGUGUAAGCUGACUCCUGCAGGCAAUAGGAAACCAGUGAAGGUACUUCAGUAUUUCCCGUUGAGGGAUAGGCUGGAGCGGUUGUAUAUGUCUUCACACACGGCCAAAGCUAUGAGAUGGCAUGUAGAUAGGGAAUUGCAUGACGAAGAUACCCUUAUACACCCUGUUGACGGGGAGGCUUGGAAGCAUAUAGACAGGGAGUUUCCUCAUUUUGUGUCAGAGGUCCGAAAUGUGAGGCUCGAGCUCUCAUCCGACAGGUUCAACCCUUUUGGCAACAUGAGUCUUCAAUACAGUGUAUGGCCGGUGAUUUUGGUACCGUACAACCUUCGUCCAUGAAUAUGCAUGAAGAAGGAAUACAAUAUGUUGAGUUUGUUGAUUCCGGGGCUCGGCUAUCCAGGGAAGUGUCUCGAUGUGUAUUUGAGACCUUUGAUUGAAGAGCUUAAGUUUUUGUGGGACGUUGGUCAUCCCACUUAUGACAAGUACAUGCACGAGAUGUUCCAGAUGCAUGUCAUGGUUGUUGGUACCAUCAGUGAUUUUCCUGCCCGUGGGAUGUUGUCGGGCAACGUUGUUAGGGGAUACAAGGCUUGUCCAGAGUGCCUUAGCGAUGAGGGGAGCAGCAGUCAUUGCAACAAGAUAUGCAGAUUGGGUCACCGUACUUUCCUUCCAUAUAAUCACGAAUGGCGGUUCGAUGACAAAACAUUUGAUGGGACCGUAGAACACGGUGUGCCUCCCAGAAGAUGGACGGGGGAAGAAAUUUUAGCAGUGCUUAAUGAGUACGAUUUUGGACAGCUCAGCAAUCAUCCCAACAUUGUGGCGGCAAUACCUGAAAGACCCGACAGGUACAAAUUCUGGACACAUAAGAGCAUAUUCUGGGAACUCCCAUACUAGAGUAAGUUGUUGAUCAGGCACUACCUAGAUGUGAUGCACAUAGAAAAAAAUGUUUGCGACAGUGUGGUGGGCACAAUGCUGAACUUGGAGGGGAAGACGAAAUACGGCCCUAAGGCACACAUUGAUUUAAAAAAAAUGCAAUUAAGAAGACAUCUGUGGUUGAAAGAAGGGAAGAAAAAAAUGCCUCAAGCUCCUUACACCGUGAAGCCUGACCAGAAGAACGUAAUUUUCAGGUGGAUGAGUUGUGUGAAGUAUCCUUCAGGCUAUGCAGGAAAUAUAGCCCGGUGUGUGAACUUCCGGGACAAUAAGAUGUACGGGUUGAAGAGUCAUGACUGUCAUAUCUUGCUACAACGUCUCUUCCUUAUUUUCAUUCGACCGUUCCUUCCCCGUCAGGUGGUAGAGCCGUUAGUAGCGUUGGCAAGAUUCUUCCAGAAGUUAUGCACACGGGAAGUGAAAAAAUCUAACCUCCGGGAAAUGCAAGAGGACAUCAUUUAUAUCAUGUGUAAAUUUGAGAGGAUAUUUCCUCCAAAUUUUUUUGACAUCAUGCCUCACCUGAUGAUCCAUCUUCUCGAGCAAUUGUUGCUUACCGGUCCCGUACACUACACUUGGAUGUAUCCCAUGGAAAUGUACGUUUUUUACACCUGAAUUCCUCAAUAUAUAUACAUGUUCAAUAAUCAUAACACUUUGCAACUUGAUUUAUAGGCAACUUGAAGACUACAAAGAUUAUUUGGCUAAUAAAUCCGCGCCUGAAUGAUGUAUAGCUGAAGCAUAUAUUGUGCACGAGUGCGUCACCUACAUGAAGUUGUAUUUAGGAGCGUUGAAGGAAACUCCGCAAACCAUGCCGGUAGAUGUACCGAAGUUUAAUCUUUCCAUACUCUCUAGUGAUGUUGAAGUUUAUGGAAUUUUGCCAGACUCCUACAAGUUGCAACCACAUGAGCUAGUCAUUGCCCACUGGUGGGUAUUGAUUAACUGUCGAGAAGUUGAAUACUAGAAAGACAUCCAUCUAUAUUGUCCAGACAUUCAAGGUGAUCUUGAGUACCACAACAAAGAGUUCGCAAAUUAUUUUUGCGGCUGGGUACGUAAUUCAAUAUUUAUGUACGUGUUUAUGUUUAUUGCAUAAUAUCCAUAUUUACAAUUGAAUGUUGUAUGCAGAUGAACCAUAUUCAAUUUGAUGGUCACCCAAAUUGGUCGCACGAACUAAGACUUCUAGUGAUGAAGCCGAUAAUGUCAAGAGUUUAUCUGAUGUGCAAGGUGAAUGGCGUGCAAUAUAUACGUGAACAGAGAGACAGCAGACGGAGAACACAGAAUUCUGGGGUGAUGGCGCAUGGUAGGCGGAAUGAAGUUGACUAUUACGGUCUUCUCCAUUCAGUGGUGGAACUCGUUUACAGUGAAGGCAUGACAGUGCACCUCUUCAAGUGUAGAUGGUUUGAUACUAGCCCGCAGAGCAUGAAGACCGAUAAGUACGGAAUAUUAUCGGUGAACACUGCUACAAGUUGUUACGAAGAUGACCCGUUCGUUUUUGCCACAUCGGUAAAACAAGUGUUUUAUCUUGAUGACCUUGCUAAGGGUGACGCGUGGAAAGUCGUCAACCUUGUGCACCCUCGAAACAUUUACCGGGCGGCUACACUUGGAGAGGCCGAAGACGAGGAAGAAGAUGUUGCGUAUCAAGAGCCCAACGCAAUAGGUAUUCCUAACGAGUCUACCUUUCGUCUUAAUAAUUUUAAAACGGGUCGUUCGGUACGAAUUCGUGAUGAAGAGCCAAGGCUUAUUGAUGUUGAUCCAAAUCAAGAAAUAGACGAAGACUCUGGCGAUGAGGAAAUGCAUAGAUUACCAGAAAUUAAUUCUGACACCGAAGAAGACUCAUCGGAUGAUUCCGAUUACGAGCCUUAGUUUUAAUUUAGAGGAUGUAAUACAUUAAUUUGUAAUAAAAAAGAACGUAUUACCUUUAUAGUUUACAUAUGUUGAAUUCAUAUUUCUGUUAUUUUACAUGAAUUUUGGUGAUAUAUGAACAAGAAGUGUUUAUGGCUUAAACCUUCUAUUUUUUUAAUGUAUUUUUUAUACUUUAACUGACGAAAUAUACCAUAAUUCGUCGGCUAAGAUUUGGAUUAGCCGACGGAAUAUACUAUAAUUCGUCGGCUAAGAUUGUUUAACCCGACGAAUUGUGGUAUAUUUCGUCGGCUUAAACCAUCUUAGCCGACGAAAUAUACUAGGGUAUUCGUCGGCUAACCACAUCUUAGCCGACGAAUACCCUAAUAUUUCGUCGGCUAAACCCUAAACCCUAAAAUUUUUAUACGACUUGUUGUGUCUCAUCGGUUUGAAACUAUUUUCAUUUGAAGGUCCGGCCGAAAUACCUAAUUUAGACGGUCCAAUGACCUUUUCCGUGCUUUUAGGGGUUUGACUUAACGGAUUGACCGUCUGAAUCGAUCCCUUAACCUUGUCGGAUCAAGUUGAAUUUUUUUCUAUACAUGUAUUUUAUCAUGAUGGUCAGAUCUGACGGUCGGAUUUUCGUUUAUCAAGUUUCAUCAUCACAAUCACAACAUGCCUACUAAUGUUGUAUAACUUGUUUACCAAGUGUUUAAGUAAAUGUUCCGUUUCAAAAACAAACUAUACGUAGAUCCUUUAAACGCAAAAAAGUCGUGAAAUAAGAUAUGACCAGAAUGGUUAAAUACGUCCACGGUUGAAAAAUCACGGUAUUCCGAUAAAGUCUCGGUGCCGAUAGUUGCGGUCAAUGCAAUUUUCCGUUCUUUCUCCUUAUGGGUAGCCCUAUCAUCCGUGGUUAUUUUUUGUAAAAUUUUUAUACGACUUGUUGCGUCUCAUUGGUUUGAAACUAUUUUCAGUUGAAAGUCCGGCCAAAAUACGUAAUUUAGACGGUCCAAUAACUUUUUCCGUGCGUUUAGGGGUUUGACUUAAUGGAUUAACCAUCCGAAUCAAGCCCUUAACCUUGUCGGAUCAAGUUGAAUUUUUUACCAUACAUGUAUUUUCUCAUGGUGGUCAGAUCUGACGGUCGGAUUUUUGGUUCUCAAGUUUCAUCAUCACAAUCACAAUGUGCCGAAUGUAUGAAAAGUAAUUUAGCCGACGACAUUAUUUAAAACUCAUCGGCUGUAGUUAAUACAAUAAAAUAAAACAGAUAAAUUGAAAAUAUUAAAUAAAAAUUACUAGCCGACGACUUUCAAGGUUAAGCCGACUUUCAAGGUUAGGCCGACGAAUUUCAAGGUUUAGCCGACGAAUUUCAAGGUUAAGCCGACGAAUUUCAAAGGUUUAGCCAACGAAUUUCAAAGGUUUAGCCGACGAAAUUCAAGGGUUAGCCGACGAAUUUGAAAUUUUAGCCGACGAAGUAAUUAUUUUGUCGGCUAAAGUUAUCAGGACCGUAGAGAACCCAGCGAAAACCCUAACGCCUGGUCCGCCUCUCCCUCUCCCUCUCCGUCGCCCUCUCCCUCUCCCGGUCUCCCUCUCCGCAACCCAUCCUUGCCGCCCACCCUCGCCUGGUCCGCCUCGCCGCAGCCCAGCCUCGCCGCCCAACCCAGUCUCGCCGCAGCUGCCACAUUAUUAAGGUCGGAGGUAAAAGUGUUGGUGUGAAUUGGUUUAUGCAUGUGUUUUUGAAAUUACGGUGCUUUUUGACGAUAGGGAAAUUUGUGGUAUUAUGGAAUUUGGGAAUGAUUAAUGCUCAAUUAGGUUGGUAAUGAUUUGGAAUAUUUGAUAUGGUGGAAGGGUAUAGAAUUUGAAUUUCAAGUAUGAAAUCGGAAAAAAAAUAUUACAAUUUGAAGUCAAUUGAUUGACCUAGUCUGCUAGUAUGCUUAUUUAAUUGAAUUGUUGUCUUGUUAAAUAAUGAAUUGCUGGAAAUUUUAAUUGGAAUAGAGUACAAUUUAGUUAGUAUUUUAAACAGCUUUGAUUCAAAUUAAUAUUUUAAAUAGGAUGAGCGGUAAUUUUAGAUCGACGAAGGGUUCAAGGGGCCAAAGGUCCGAAUCGUCUGAGGGAACCUCUAGCAACCCUCAAACGUCGUUUCAGGGCCAUAUGACAGCCAGACAUGUGUCCCUUCUGGAGACGGCGCAGCGGCAGCCACCGAGCGUUUCCCAUUCCUCGAGGCAGCCUUCGGUGCCCAUUUCAUCGAGGCAGCGGGACAUCCCUCAUUUCUUGAGAGAGCUGUGGCCUCAGACCCAGACGGAGGUGUCUGCACCCCGUAUGCUUGAGAUACACCGGCCGCCCACUCCGGAUCCUACUGCUUCGGAUGGUGGGUCAUCUGGGGUACAGAUGCCGCCGCCUCAUAUGUUCCUUCCACGGAUGAUACCGGCGUUACCUGCAAUUGAUGGCUCAGGGACCCCCGCCAGUGGCUCCAUCAGCGACAUAUCGGUUUGUGCCUUUUGAUAUGCCUCUUAUUUCCGCGAGGGUAUCAUCAUCGGCGACAGAGACGGAAUCCGUCGCGUCCGUCGCAUCGCUCUCAGGUAAUAAAAGAUGAAUGAUUUGUUUUCUUGUAAUUAAUAAUAAAGGGUCUCCGAUUUUAAUAAUCAAUUUGGUUUAUCAUGUGAUAGGUACUGUCGGAGCGAAGCCGACAAAGAAGAAGAGAGGUCCCGUCACAGGGAAGGCUCUCGAGAAGACCGUCACUACUUCAGGGAGGAUUGUCAUCAAUACUGACGGAGAUGGCCACAUAGUAUCGGGCGGGAAGUCGAGGACGUACUCCGGCCGCGUGGGAGCGCUCAUUAGGGAUAGAGUCCCUAUGCUGUGGUCAGACUGGGAUGAGGUCCCGCAGGAGGUUAAGGACAUGGUCCACAACCUGAUGUCGGUGAGUUUCAAAAUGCCUCAAUAAUAUUAUGUAUUACAUUGUUGAUUUCUCGAAAAACUAAACUAAUAAACAGUUAAAUACAGGUGUGGUUUGACGUUCUCGAGCACCUGAAAAACAGCUGGGCGGACGUUGUGCAUGGGGGAAGGUACGUUGGGAAGUUAAUGAAAAAACAAAAUUGUAUGUCAUAUUAAUAAUAUUUCUAAUAUUUUUGUUGUAUCUGUAGGUACAAGGAGUGGAAGAACGAGUUGCAGACCCACUGGACUACGCACGGGAACGCACGUUCUGGUAUCCCUGCUGAGUUCCAGUAUAAGGAGUACGAGUGGCGUUGGCUUCUGACAUCAGAAUUCAACAACCCUCGUAAACAGGUAUUUAAAAAAUCAAUUAGUUAAUUUGUCAUUAAGUACGUGCGUUUUUAAAUAUUUUACUAAUAGUUUAUUUUUUUCUUUGAAGGCCGUUUCUCGGGCGAACGCUCAGAACCGGCAACGCAACAUAAAGAACCAUCAUGCCGGUUCUAGACCGUUCGCUGUCUUCAUGGACGAGGCGGCCAGGGAAUAUCCAGAAGUCAACUGGUACGUCUAUACGUAUGAGAAGACAUAUCCUGACUCUCAGGAGGAUAUUGUAAGUCAUCUUACGUUUUUAAAUUUUUAAUUUUACUUAUAUAUAUGUCAAAAUGUUAAUUAAUCAUUUUUUUCCUAUCCAAUUAGGCGAAGGUGAGGGAGGCUAGUGACGAGGUGAUGAGUGAUAUAGUGAGGGAGACAUGGCCGGACACGCAGGAGGAAAAGAUGUUCGAAGCCAUGUCCCUGAUCGACACUUCAGAUCUGAGGGUUGGGGCGAGGAUCAUGGGCACAGCCUUCCCACCGCGAAAAAAUAACUUCUACUGUCGGGGUCUAGGAAAGAAGGGCCAGGGGGUCCUGAAGACCACUCUAGGAUUUCAACGAAAGGCAGCCUCGACCAGCAGCAAGACGACUUAGCUAGAGUCGGAAGUUGAGAGACUACGGGAACAACAAGCCGCUCAGGCUGCCGCUCAUGCCGCCCAGAUCGCCGAACAUAGAGCCUAUACUACCGCGGUACAUGUCGCCCAGCAGGCCCAGCAUCAACAGAUGUUCCAGUACUUCCAAGAGUUUACAGCUGCCCAGCCUCGCCCAGCCUUAGAGACUUCCACCUCCACCUAUGCCUGCGCCUAUACAGUUACCUCAGCUGCCGUAAUCUCCUCAGCAGCAGGCUCCAGAAUCGGAUAUUGAUUUAGACCAUCUAGAUUUUGUGUAGUUGAUACCUUAUAUAGUUUUAUGUGCUUCUUGUUGGUUAUAUAUAUGGAAUUGUUUUGGUGUAUUUUGCAGCUUGCUUGGAAUGGUAAUUUAGAAAUUUCGCGUUUUUUUUAUUGGAUUGGACUUAUAGCCGACGAAACAUGCCACAAUUCAUCCGCUAUAGUAUUUUUAAUUUUUUUCCAUAAGGUUUAGCCGACGAAACAUGCCAUAAUUCGUCGGCUAAACCCUACUAAAGCCGACGAAACAGACUCUAUUUCGUCGGCUAUAGUUCUUUUUUAAUUUUUUAGUUAUAUACUUUAGCCGACGAAUAUCUUUGUUCCGUCACCUAAAGGCUGGGAGUAAAGCCGACGAAUAUCUCUGUUGCGUCGGCUAAAGUCUGGGAGUAUCGUCGGCUUAAUUGUGGAACAAUAGCCGAUAAAAUUUCGUCGGCUUAAUUGUGGAACAAUAGCCGACAAAAUUUCGUCGGCUUAAUACAUGAACAAAAGAGUUCGUCGGCUAAAUACUGGUACAAUAGCCGACGACGGUCUCUAGGUUCGUCGGCUAAAGUCAUCGCCGACGACCCUUUCCCGACGACACUAUAGCCGACGAAUAAAGAUAACAGGCCGACGAAAAUUUUUCGUCGGCUAAAGUGCUUGUCCUGGUAGUGCCGAUCCAAGUUGUACCUAAGCGUUCUGGCAUCACAGUUGUGAAGAAUGAAGAUAAUGAAUUGGUUCCUACACGAGUUCAAACCGGAUGGAGGGUUUGCAUUGAUUAUCGCAAACUCAACACUACUACACGUAAGGACCAUUUUCCCUUGCCUUUUAUUAAUCAAAUGUUAGAAAGACUUGCAGGUCAUGCAUAUUAUUGCUUCUUGGAUGGGUACUCAAGUUAUAACCAGAUACCCAUUCAUCCGGAGGAUCAAGAAAAGACGACAUUCACAUGUCCUUUUGGGACGUUUGCAUACCAAAGAAUGCCAUUUGGCUUAUGCAAUGCCCCUGCAACAUUCCAAAGGUGCAUGAUGAGCAUAUUCUCCGACAUGGUUGAAAAGAUCAUCGAGGUUUUCAUGGAUGACUUCUCCCUUUACGGUGACUCUUUUGACUCUUGCUUAUUUAACUUAUCUUUAGUUCUUAAGAGAUGCCAAGAAUCUAACCUUGUACUUAAUUGGGAAAAAUGGCAUUUUAUGGUACAACAAGGUAUAGUUCUAGGUCAUAUCAUAUCUGCUAAAGGGAUAGAAGUUGAUAAGGCAAAAAUAGAUCUUGUACAUUCUUUACCACCUCCCACAUCUGUGAGGGAGGUACGUUCUUUUCUUGGACAUGCAGGUUUCUAUCGGCGUUUUAUCAAAGACCAUUAUAAGAUCACAAGGCCAUUAUGUCGCCUACUUCAAAAAGAUGUGCCUUUUGUUUUUGAUGAGGAGUGCAUGGUGGCAUUUGAAAAGCUUAAGAAGAUGUUGACUGAGGCACCUGUUAUCAUGCCACCGGAUUGGAAUCUCCCCUUUGAGCUUAUGUGUGAUGCAUCUAACUAUGCAGUUGGAGCAAUUUUGGGGCAAAGAGUUGAAAAGAUCCCUCAUGUCAUCUACUACACGUCAAGGACGCUCAAUGAUGCCCAACUGAACUACUCCACCACAGAAAAAGAACUUUUAGCUGUUGUUUUUGCUUUAGAAAAAUUUCGUUCAUAUCUGUUGGGUACUAAAGUUGUUAUUUAUUCUGAUCAUGUAGCUCUUAGGUACCUACUUACAAAGAAGGAAGCAAAACCUCGGUUAAUUAGGUGGAUCCUCCUCCUACAAGAGUUCGAUUUGGAAAUCAAAGAUAAGAAAGGAUGUGAGAAUGUAGUGGCUAAUCACUUGAGUAGACUUGUGCAUAGUUCAAAAGAGGAAGAAGGCACCUUACCGCUUAAGGAAGCUUUCCCAGACGAGCAACUGUUUGAAGUACAAAAAUUGGGAUCAAAUUUUUCUUCUUCUUCUUUUGAGCCAUGGUUUGCAGACAUCGUCAAUUACAAGGUCACCAAGCUAAUUCCGGAUAAUUUCACUCGAGCUCAAAGGGCAAGUUGAUCAAAACUGCAAGGCAAUAUGUUUGGGAUGAGCCCUACUUGUGGAAGUUUUGUGUGGAUCAAUUGGUAAGAAGGUGUGUUCACGAAUCUGAGUUUCAAUCUAUACUAACCUUUUGCCAUUCUUAUGCUUGUGGUGGUCAUUUUGGAGCCAAAAGGACUGCCUUGAAGGUCCUUGAGUGUGGAUUUUAUUGGCCUACUCUUUUUAAGGAUGCAUACGUAUUUUGCAAAACAUGUGAUAGAUGCCAACGUACAGGUAACUUGGGUCCAAGGGAUCAAAUGGCUCAAACCCCAAUCAUAAGUGUUGAAAUANNNNNNNNNNNNNNNNNNNNNNNNNNNNNNNNNNNNNNNNNNNNNNNNNNNNNNNNNNNNNNNNNNNNNNNNNNNNNNNNNNNNNNNNNNNNNNNNNNNNNNNNNNNNNNNNNNNNNNNNNNNNNNNNNNNNNNNNNNNNNNNNNNNNNNNNGAACUCUAGAUGACUAGAACUCACUCUUGUGGACUUUCGAAACUUUUUAUUCAUAAAACACUCUGAUUUUGGAAAGGAUAAAUAGAACUUUUUAGGAUGAACAUCAUUGCCAGAUUAUCAUGUGUCCUUAUUUGUGUGCGCGGCACACCCCUUAGUUAAACCCCUUUGAGCCUACGUUAAGCAUUUUCUUUCAUCACCCAUGGAAUACAUACCUUGAGUUUAGUGUAGUGAUAUCUCUACCUUUGUCCUUUGAGCCUAGUAGAGCAUGAUGUUGUGAUGUAUUGUAUGGAAUGAUGAUGAGAAACAAGUGUGGGGGAAGGUGACUUGUCCAAAAGAAAAGAAAAAUGCCACAAAAAUAAAAAAUAAAGAAAGAAAAAUCAAAAGAAAUGGCAGAAAAUUUUUUUUUGGACCAAGUCCCUUGUUUGUGAAUUUGGAUUUUGUGUAUGUUUGAAGGCCCAAAAACUGAAUAUAUGGCCUUUGUUCUUUUUCACAAUGUUGUAAGGAGGUUGGAAUGACGAUGGGCCCAAGAUGAUGAUAUUUGGCUCUUGCUUUGGCGACAUAAGACGUGUUUUAAUGCUCUGCUAGGUCCUUAGGAAAAAUUCCUUACCCUUCUAAUCAUACCCUUAGCCUAGCCUCAGUAUUACCUUGUAAAGUUCAUUUUGAUCUAAAAGAUGAGUAAAACUUGAUCUGUGGAGUUUGUUCCAAGAGUUGAGCCUAUGGUGUGGUUCAUUUGUGUGAGUAAUUGAUUCAUUCAUGAGGUUUAUUUAUGUUGCCAUGUGCUUUUUGUUCAUAUAAGUAUGCAAACUACUUUCUCUUGCAUACAUUUGAGAGACUGAGCCAGAAAAUCUUGAGUGAAAAGAAAUUGAGUGCAUCUUUGUGAGGAAUUGAGUUGGUACUUAUUGACCCAUGAAUUCGAAAGGCAUAUACUUGCUGUAUUGGUUUAAUCAUCCUUGCAUAAUGAUUUGAGCAUCAUGGUUGUUAAAAUAAAUUAACUUUUAAGUGAAAUUGAGAGUUUUGAUACAUGAUAGCUUGAAUUUUUGUUGACCAGUGUAGGCGUUAUAAGUUCUCUGAGAUGUUUGGAAGACAUUAGGUUUGUGUCAUUUGUCUAGUUAGUCUUUGUGUUUGCUAGGGACUAGCAAAGCUUAAGUGUGGGGGUCUUUGAUAAGAGCAUAAAUAUGCGACGAUAUGAUGGUUAAUUCCCCUCUUUACUUUAUUAGUUUAUCGUAUUUUCCAUUUGAUUUAGUUAUUUUUAUGUUUAUUAGGUGUUUCGGAGCAAAGAAAGGAAUAUGAAGCAAAAGAGGAGAAAUCUUGAAGGAUUAGGAAUUCAUGUCGUGCAAGGAAAGAAUUAUGAGAUUUGCCAGAAAUUAUCAUCUAACUUCGACAGAUGAUUGUGAUCAGCUCACAAUGAUCCAGACAAUGAGUUAUUAUCAAUAGAAAGCUACAAGAGUUUACUUUCUAGAACUUUUUACGGAUCGUCAAUACCUAUUUUGGAGAAGAAGUUAUGAUCAUUUUAGUGGCCGAAGGUCAGUCUGCCCGAAUUUCUGAUUUGGACCGUAACUUCAAUUUCAAGGCCCAAUCCAAAUCAGCUGGCCCAUGGACGGAAAUUGAGGGUUCUCUAACCUAAUAUCAUCUGAUACACUAGAGGAAACGAAGGAGAAGAAGAAGUCGAGAAGAAAAGAACACAAGAAUCGGACGGAACAAGAUUGAUCUCUUCUCAAGGAUUCUCCAAGCUCGGUUAUUGUUGUCUUCCCCUUCCAUAUGAACUCUUUUGUGUUUUUAAUUUUCAUUAUGUGCAACUAAACUCAUAGUAGCUAGGGGGCUGAUGAAGCCCCUAGACAUGAUUCAUAACAUGCUUUGAUUUUCAAUUUGUUUUUGCAAUUAAUAAGAUUGAGGUUUUGUUUACCUAUUGUUCAUCGAUGAAUUCUUUGUGUGUGUGCUUUGGAGGCCUACUUAGUAUACAUGCUAGGGUUCUAAUACUUUGAUUAUUUGAUGCCUGGGUCAAUAUCGGAUCCCUCAAAUUGUCUAGAGAAGUAAUCGGUAGUUUUCACUAAUGAGUAGACGAAACCCUAGUUUUAGCAAGGCGCUAAGUUUAUUGCGAUGCCUAGUGAUUGCUCAAACUCUUUUCAUGCUUAUUGAUCUCUGCUUGUUUAACCUAAUAAACAUACCUUUAGGUUACAAUGUUUGAGAAUAGUUUAGGUGUAGAGCACUUCCUGCCUAACGUACAAAGUACGAAAGAGUAAUAGAUUGUGCUCAAGCGUACUGAGUCAAUCUGAGCAUCUUCAAUUGAGUUAGUUGGUCACAAAUUGGACAAAGUGUGUUGUGUGUGAUUGUUAGGGGUGGAUACUUUCUCCCUAGCUAGUCUCAUUAUCAUGAUUUUCAACUACUUUGAAAUCAGUUUUCAGUUUUCUUAUCUUCUGUUUGUCAUAUUCCCGUAUUUUAUUUCCCUAUCAAAUCAACUCCGAUUUAUCUCAAAUUUUGGUGCUAGACGCUCUGUGUAUCUAGUACACCUCUGUAAAUUUUCAUGUUUUUCUGAGCAUUCUAGGUUAGGUUUUACUUUUAUUUUUCGACUGUUGUUCAAUAGGAGCUGCAGUCACGUUUUGUGACUUUUGUUGAAGCUUUUAGUUUAACUUAAUCCUCUGCGGGAGACCCUUAUUUCUCUAUAUUACAAUCGACAAAUUUACAGGAGAAUAAGGAAAAUAAAUAGCUUUUAAUUUAGCUGACCCUAAACCCUAAACCCACCCCUGGAACGCUCGCCACCUCCACCUCUACCCUGUUUAACUUAAAAAAGCCAAAAAACCCAACAGGGCAGCUAGCGCUUCAUCAGUUGUGUACUUUAGCCCAUUAGCGGCCUAAGUAAAAUGUACAACUUGCCCAUUAGCGGCCUAUCCUAAAUGAAAAUGCUAUUUGUGUUCAUCUUUUUAAGCAUACCGUGCCAAGAACACGGACAACAUCACAACAGAGGAAAAAGAACAACAUUCUUUAACGAAAACAAGUAUCAACCUGGACUCCCAGACAAUCUAUAAAUAACUGGCUAACCACGCCAUCAAUAUUGUUUCAACAGCAAACAAAAAUUGAAAACUAACAAAACAACCAAGUACAUCAAAAUAAUCAUUUCUCCCCGGAAGACGUGCCACUGGACUUAUUCACACUCCCACCACUCUUUGACCCACUACCUCGUCCGCGGGACUGGCUGAUGUUCACAGAAACCCUCUGCCCAUAAGUAUGCUUCGCGAGGUCACGCGACCUUGGUAGCGGCCUCAUAGAAACGUUAGGACGCACCAAGGAGCUCAUUUGUUGCACUCCAGUAGCAGUGGGCUUGCUCGCUGGAACCUUUGGCACUUCAGCACGGGGGGCGGGGGGGUGACAUAAGUCCAGAGGCUCGAGGGGGUGGAGGUUCAACAACAGACGACGCCAUCUGCGACGCUACAACUUGAAUGGCCGGGGACCCUUCAGGACGAGGAGACUUCAUAGAAGGACCUUCCUUUGGUACGGCAGAAGAGGUAGCACGCCAGGCCUUGUGCUACUUAGCCAGGGAUUGCGAGAUCUCGACUUGCUUUCUCUGCUCUGGCGUCAUCAGCUCCCAGGCCUUCUUCGCGACAUCCCUUUCAGCAUAGAACUUGCGCAUAGCAGCUUCGUUAAUCCAGCCAGCUUGGCACCCAGUCUUGCUAAGCUCAUCUUGCCCCUGAUUAUAAGCACUCUUCAGCUGCUGAUACAUGUCACUCUCCCAGAACACCCUCUCCCCAGCCCCGGUAGCCCUGGCGCACUUCAGCUUCCACACCCUCUCCUGCUCCGCCAAGACGUGGUUCAGUCUCGCCACCUCCGCCUCCAGAGAAGCAACCUUAGCAGCAGCCACCUCCCCACCUUCCACCUGCUUAUCCUUCUCCUGCAUAACUUCCUUCAGCACUGCCACCUCCUUCCCAACGGUAGUGGCCUGGUCCCGAAAGACAGCCGCGUCUUGUUCCACCUGCUCCAAACACUGUGAGAGGGCACGAUUAUUCUCCUCUGCCUCCUUUAGUUGCUGGCACUUGGCCUCAGCAUCCCCCUGCAAGUGGGUAAUAGCCCUCUCACUUGCAGCAUACAUCAGUAGCGUCGCCUACAGAUAAGAACCAAAACAUAAGCAAAAGGCCAAGAACCGAUUAAGGAUAAAUCGACAAGUAUGCAUCUUUACCCGGGUCAACUUCUCCUUAGCGAGAGCCAUGCUAGCUAAGGGCUCAACCUCCUCUAGGGCAUUCAUGUCGGGAGACCGGUGACGCAUGUCAUACGCCAUUUGCGCCAAGUAAGGCUGCACCUCCCCGAUCCUCUCCAGUGCAUGGGUGAUCUCGGCCAGACUCCUAGAACUCCUGGAACGCCCUUCCUUCCGGGAUCGUUUUGCCUGGCCGUCACGCGACGAUUCCACCAUUUCCUUCCUCUUCCGAGUCUUUGUCACAACGACCUCCUCGGAUUCCUGCCUAAGAGAUUCCACCUCUUCUGUCACGAGAUCUUUGUCACCAGUUUGGGGUUCCCCAACAUUUCCCACAAGUGCAUCUUCCAUCCCAACUGGCUCCGAGACAUGCUCUUCCCCCACUGGAACUUGCUCCUGGUCGCCCUCAGGGUCACCACCCUCCAUCUCGACAGCUUCAUCAUCUACCUCUUGGUCGCCUAAACCCAUGGCCUCGGCCACCAAGGGAGGCACAUAGGCAUAGUCUUCAUAUGCCAGGUUCAGCCUCAAGAAGUCAUCCUCACAUUCUACCAGCUCCACCUCCUUCCCUUCCCCAGUCUCUAGAUCAAUGUCAAACCGUUUGGCAUGAGUAGCCUUGGUAAGCAACCCAUCCAGCACAUCCUCAUCAGAGACCUUGUCAUAAGGCCCUUCUUUCUUCCGCGACCCACCGUCCCGAGGCAUCGUCGCUACACCAAACAAAAGAUCAGUCAAGAACAGCCCAGCAAACAUAAAAAAUAAAAUAAAUAAAAAUAAAAACAUUCAAUAACAAUACAGACCCGGGACUCGGGCAUAGCCGAAAUGACUAUAUACGCCAAGCCGGCAUAUCCGGUAUGAACUCCUACACUCGAAUGCCCACAGCACCCGGCAUAUCCGACGCUCCAUCAGCUCAGUUAACUUACACUCUUGGGGCACUACACAAAGUUAGCAGUCAGUAGUCAAUAGGAGCAGCACAGUACAAACAGUAAGAAAACACGAGACACAAAACACGGUACCUAUUUAUUGAAAGGCCCUGGGUACUCGGAAGGGAUGUCUGUGCCACUCCUGCCACUGCCCCCCAACAAGGAAGCACUUCUGCCGCCAACCCUCGUUCGUAGAGGUGGGCAAGCCUUCCACCAAAAUCUUGAACUUGCCCCGGGACUUCAAUGUCACGCAACCCCGGCUGCCUUUCUUCGCGCAGUACGCCAUAUCCAACAGGCGUUGAACUCCUCAAAAUUUGAGAACUCUUGUCCCAAUAAACGAAACAAUACCCCCGUCCCCAAAAUUUGCCUUAACAUAUUCGGGGUGACUUGCCCCAGGGCGACAUGCAGACACGCUAAGGUGUACUGCACAAAGGGGGGUAGCGGGAACAUCAGCUCGCACUUUAACUGGUACUCGUACACCAGGGUGAAGUUGUCCGAAGGGUCCCAAAAGUUAACUCCCUUGCCAAGAGGCCGCAACAAGACCUCCUUGGGGAUACUCCAAUUUUGCCUCAGAGCCUUUAGCUCUGCCGACGUCAUACUCUCGCUGGGAGGAUCCCAGAACGAAUCGUCAUCCUCCCGAGAUCUCGCCAUGUUAAACUCUUCUACCUCCUGCAAUAGAGGGUCAGACGAGGACACGUGAGACCCUUCAUCCGUAACAGGAAUGCCCUCCCCUAAGUCAAGUGCAACUUCCGCCAUGAGAUAAUUCAUCUCUUCUUCCCACCGGUGCCAGGUGUCCGAAUCAGGAUCAGUCGAGCUAGAGACAACCACGAUCUCCUCGCUGGACACCCGUAUUAGAUCUGUCAUACCCUACAUCCCCACAUGGUUAGACUCUCGCUACCUUAACCCUAGCUAGCUAACUCGACAGCAAACUAUUCAAUCCCUUACACUAGACUCCCUUAAGCAAAGUCACAACUGAGGCGAAAUCCACAACCACUAUCCCUAUCAAUUCGGAAUAAAGCAAAAACAAAACCCAGAACAGGAAUUGACAAGUUCAUACCUUGGAAAAUUGGAUUUGUGUAGUGGUAGUGAAGCUGGUUGCAAACAGCAGAGCGCUUGCACGCAAUCGAUCGAGGAUGAAAUUGGACGUUCCCUAAAUUUCGAUUCACAGUUUGUCACAAGCCCCUCUUCAAAAACCGAACAACCCACUCUCCAGCCCUAAUCUCUCUGUUUUCAAAACGCAAACUCCCUCCUCUAUUUCCACAAAGCCUAUUUAUAGAGCAUUCAAGUUGACCUCGACCAUUCAGAUCCCUACUAAUCCCAACGGUCAAGGAACAGCCACGUCGACCACGAUCGAACAAGCCAUUUAAGACGUGCCCCACGAUCUAACCCACGCGCGUCAAUUACACGCCAAUCAAAAAAAAAACCGAACUGUUACGUCCUUAAAAACCGCUAUAAAUGACCACGUGCUCCUCAUAAACUGGCCAUUUAUGACACACGUGAGAUAUAACGCAAAUGAUCAUAUCGAGUUCUCGGAACUCAACCCCAGCCACCUCGCGUGGGGACUUGGGGACUCGGCACCAUGCCUCCAACUCCCAGGUAAAACACAUUCUCGACACAACUUGGGAAUAACUCCCCACCCAAGAGCUCUCUCGGACUGGGGACUUGGGGACUUAUUAAUACAUAGCCAAAAUACUUGGCCAUGCCGAGAAUGUAACGUCAUUACCCGGUCACCGGAGAUCAUUCCGGCCUAUGCGCCGCCAGCAAGGCCUCCAUAGGCACACAAACAGUGGAGACACAACAACAAUACACUACCAGAAGAAGGCUUUAGCCAACGAAAAUAAAAAAACCAGGCCGACGAAAUUUUCCUUCGUCGGCUAAUUUAAAAUUUUCUUCGGCUACGGUCAACUUUAGCCGACGAAAUAAUUUUUUCGUCGGCUAUAGUCUGUGAACUUUAGCCGACGAAAUUUUGAAAAGUUUAGCCGACGAAAAAUAUAAUUUCGUCGGCUAAAGUGCCUUAUAUUUGCAGAUCUGGACAACAACUCAUCUGGGAAAAAAAAACUAUACGUAGAACCUCAAACGCAAAAAAGUCGUGAAAUAAGAUAUGACCAGAAUGGUGAAAUACGUCUACGAUUGAAAAAUCACGGUAUUUCGGUAAAUUCUCGGUGCCGAUAGUUGCGGUCAAUGCAAUUUACCCUUAUUAUUCACUAUGCUGCAGAUUUGGCGUUUGGUGUCCGAUUGACUAUUGUGAUACCUUUCCGGAAGCGUAAUGGCCCUACGAGUCAAAAAUAAUUGCUAGUGCUAUGANNNNNNNNNNNNNNNNNNNNNNNNNNNNNNNNNNNNNNNNNNNNNNNNNNNNNNNNNNNNNNNNNNNNNNNNNNNNNNNNNNNNNNNNNNNNNNNNNNNNNNNNNNNNNNNNNNNNNNNNNNNNNNNNNNNNNNNNNNNNNNNNNNNNNNNNNNNNNNNNNNNNNNNNNNNNNNNNNNNNNNNNNNNNNNNNNNNNNNNNNNNNNNNNNNNNNNNNNNNNNNNNNNNNNNNNNNNNNNNNNNNNNNNNNNNNNNNNNNNNNNNNNNNNNNNNNNNNNNNNNNNNNNNNNNNNNNNNNNNNNNNNNNNNNNNNNNNNNNNNNNNNNNNNNNNNNNNNNNNNNNNNNNNNNNNNNNNNNNNNNNNNNNNNNNNNNNNNNNNNNNNNNNNNNNNNNNNNNNNNNNNNNNNNNNNNNNNNNNNNNNNNNNNNNNNNNNNNNNNNNNNNNNNNNNNNNNNNNNNNNNNNNNNNNNNNNNNNNNNNNNNNNNNNNNNNNNNNNNNNNNNNNNNNNNNNNNNNNNNNNNNNNNNNNNNNNNNNNNNNNNNNNNNNNNNNNNNNNNNNNNNNNNNNNNNNNNNNNNNNNNNNNNNNNNNNNNNNNNNNNNNNNNNNNNNNNNNNNNNNNNNNNNNNNNNNNNNNNNNNNNNNNNNNNNNNNNNNNNNNNNNNNNNNNNNNNNNNNNNNNNNNNNNNNNNNNNNNNUGUGGGAUAUUACAAUCCACCCCCCUUAGGAGUCCGACGCCCUCGUCGGCACACUCGCACCACACGGCAGAGUGGCUCUGAUACCAUUUGUCACAUCCCGGGACCCGCUCCGCCGUAACACGAUAUUGUCCGCUUUGGGCCCAUCGGCCCUCACGGUUUUGUUUCCGGCAGCUCAGGAGCAGCUUCCCAGUAGGUCACCCAUCCUGGGAUUGCUCUAGCAUCAACAUGCUUAACCUCGGAGUACCCAUCCCCUCCGAAGACGCUGAGCCACCAAAAGGCCUCGUGUUAGGUUGGUGGUGGGCAUGUACAUAUACAGCACAUAACCCCUCUCCGUUUGGCCGAUGUGGGAUAUUACAACUAUUUACCGUUAUUAUUCCCUAUGGGGAGCCCUAUCGUCGGAAGGUAAAUGUCUCAAAAAAUUUAUAUGGGAAGUUGCGUCUCAUCUACGUGAGAGUUUUUUGUGUGGAAGGUUUGACCAAACUACGUAAUAUAGAGGGAGAUAUGAGCAUUUUCGUGUAAUAAGUGACGAUAGAUUAUGGUUGACCGUUUCGAUCAAGCCCUUAACGUUGUCGGAUCCAGUUGAAUUUUUUACCAUAGACAUCUUUUGUCAUAAUGAUCAUAUCUGACGGUCGAAUUUUGGUGUGUGAAUUUUAGUCAUCGGAAUCACAACGUGUCUACUAAUGUUGUAUAACUUGUUUAGUAGGUUAUACAAGUUUGUAAACUAACUCUAUAUAGGAAGCAAAAUUAUCAAAAACCUCGUGAAAUAAGAUGUGUUCAGAAUGGUGAAAUACGGCUAUGGUUCAAAAAUCACAUAAAUCGGGUAAAGUCUCGGUGCCGAUAGUAGCGGUCAACCCUAUUUACCGUUAUUAUUCCCUAUGGGGAGCCCUAUCGUCGGAAGGUAAAUGUCUCAAAAAUUUUAUAUAGGUGAUUGCGUCUCAUCUACGUGAAAGUUUUUCGUGUGGAAGGUUUGACCAAACUACGUAAUAUAGAGAGAGAUAUGAGCGUUUUCGUGAAUUUCUAGACUUUAGCCGACGAGAUAUUAAAAAAGUCGUCGGCUAAGGUCAAAAUUUUUUGGGCGGUAAACCAAAUUUGGAGGAAAAUUUUUAAAAUUUUCAACCAAAAUUUUUUGGCGGUCAACCAAAAGUUUCAAAAUUUUCAAAAGAGUUUAGCCGACGAAAAUAAAGAAUUUUGUCGGCUAAAGUUCUUUAUAUAGGAGUUUUACCGAAGGUGGAUGGUAAGAAGUCUAUUUCGCCUGCCAGAUUUUCUUCUCGGCCUAGCUCCGCCGUCAAGCCACCGAAGACCGCCACACUUGUCCCAAAAGUUUCGUCGUUGUCUCUACUUCAUUGUUGGACAGGUGGUGCAUCGAGUGGCGCCGCCGUGAGGGAUAAAUCGAGCUCUAAAACUCCGCCGGUUCGGAUUCGGUGUCGAUUGAAUUUCUCCUUCCUCAUGUCACCAUUUGGUGAGUUCUAUAUAUGGAUAAGUUGAGUUUGAUUAGUACUAUAUUCCCCUAGAAUUUGGUAGCUCGAUUCGGUGUGUGUGAGGAGAAUCGAAGAUUUGAAGUUUUUAGGGUUUAAAAUUGGGGAUUUUUAUAUUUUGAUUCAAUUGACAUGUUUAGGCUUAGAAUUGGCCUUCGACUUCUUAUAGAAAGUUGUUCAAAAUGUUGAGAGGAAGAUUCUAUCAAAUUUUGGUGGUGAUUGAAGGUGGCCGAAAGUUUCAGCAGUUUUUUUUUUUCAAAAACCAGCAACUUUAGCCGACGAUAUUUAAAUAUUAUAUUCGUCGGCUAUAGUAUUUUUUAAUUUUUUAUAAGGUUUAGCCGACGAAAUAUGGCAUGUUUCGUCGGCUAUAGUUAUUUUUUUAAAUUUUUUUAUUAGGUUUAGCCGACGAAAUAGACUAUAUUUCGUCGGUUAUAGUUAUUUUUUUAAUUUUUUUUAUAAGGUUUAGCCGACGAAUAUCUUAAUUGUUUCGUUGGCUAAAGUCUGGGAAAAAAACUGACGACAUGUUUUUCGUCGGCUAAACUGUGGGACUAUAGCCGACAACGUCUUCUUUUUCGUCGGCUAAAGUCAUCGCCGACGACCUUUUCCUGACGAAAUCUUAGCCGACGAUCCAUCGUCGGCUAAGAUCUUAGCCGACGAAUUAAGCUAACAGGCUGACGAAAUUUUUUCGUCGGCUAAAGUGCUUGUCCUGGUAGUGAUACACAUGCCAAACUCAUUCUGCAACAGCUAAACUCCUCCGAAAGGAGGGAGAUUGAACAAUGCCAUAAAACAGUCCUACAUCGGGAACUAACGGUAAAACCCCCAAUGCUAGCCUAUAAAACAGGCACAGAUCCCCAAAUAAGGUAAGUUCAUAACUCCUCCUAUACUCCCGUACUAUACAAGUAGCAACUCAACGCUAACUUAAGCAUCGGAGAGUCGAAGACUGGGCCACCCCAGUCCCGACUCCUGACGUAUUGUUACUUGUGCAACCCCAGGACCCGGAGCCAAGGAUUUGACCUCCCGUCCCGUGAUCUCGGGAGAGGUAGAAACACAUACAUACAUACAUUGGAGGGGAUAAGUUAAAUAAUAAGGAUUACUUUCAUGCAAUUAAGUCAACAGAAAAGGAAAUGAAUGAUAUAUCUCUCCGGGGACCAAGUUAAUUAAGCCGAUUGAGACACGACCAGAAAGUCCUCCAUAACCCAAUGUCCUAGUUAAGAGAGAUAUAUCAUGGACCUUUGAAACCAUUAAACGAAAAUGAAAUGUUAUGACAGUACAUUGUGGUGGUGUAUUGUAAAGAUCCUAGAGGGUUUAGGAUUUGAAUCCUCUUACUCAUUGUGUACGUAGUCUACAGUAUAAUUCAAAUUUUAUUAGUUAUAUAUGAUUUGUAAGUAGAAGAAGACUUCAGAAGAUGUUUGAGACAUUUCUAUAGAAAGGUGAACUUUUUGUCCCUCUGAGGCUCUCAUACCGUUCUCUGUAACUGAGCUGAUCCUUGCCUAACAAUAAGGGAAAGCUGAUCGUGAAUUCUCUUUUAUUUUUUGUUCCUCAGAGGUUUCUUAUUAGUCAUAACAGGAGAAGAUUAUUUCCUCGUGCUCACUCAGUACUGUUAAGCAAUCAGAUUGUCAUUUGUUUAUUUUAGAUAGUUAGAAGUUUAGUUCAUUUGUAGGAGUUCACACACAGAUUAUCUAGGAGUACCCCAAAAACAUAAACAUGUAUACAUGAUUGCUAGUCAUAACAGUUUAUAGGAAUAGAAUUGAAUUGUCAUGCAGUACAUCUAGUGGCUAGUGUAGUAAAACAGGGCUUGUAUUUAACAUUAUACAACAACAACAGCAGUGAAUUACAUAAGUUUUCCCUCUUAAUAUUUCUUUUAUUCAUAUUCACUGUUUGGCUAUAGUUUGAUGGUACUAUGGAGCGCUUAUUACCGGAUGUCCUGCAAUGAUCCCUGCAAAGUAAACAAAAUGGACAAGGUACGUAUAUAUGAUAUUAGUUUAGUGAAUGAAACACUGUCACCACUCUAGUUUAACCCCUAAAAUUGAGAAUGGGUUCAACCAAAUAGUUACUGAUACACUUUCUGGAAAAGAUAAUGAAACUGCACCAGUAUAUAUCAACUGAAUUGUUGUGGGCUAGAUAGGAAGAGAGAAAAACAAAUACCUCCGACGGGGGUGCUGCCGGGUCCUAUAUAAAGGGAGACCAAACCGUUGUGAUUACACUCAUUGGUAAUUGUUGGAGAGGAAAGAUCCCACAUCAAAAAAGGGACAAAUAAAAUACAACUUAUAAGUGGAUGGAUCAUAUCCAAUUGUACCGAGGCCUUUUGUAAUUAAAACCCAACACCUUAAAGGUGGUUAAGUUGGGACAAUAUCGGUACAAUGUGAUCCACGGGCCACGCUUGUCCCUGUUCUAGUUGGUAUCAGAGCGGGUCCCUCUUCAAUUACGUCUCCUAGCGUAACGGGAGAAAAUCUCCCAGCAUAAUGAGCCCAGAUUUGGGUUCAUCGAAUUGCCAUCAGAAAAAUUCCGAUUGCCCCAUACCAUACCAAGUGCCUGCAGUGGGCCUUGGACUGAAGCAUAACCGAUUUCCGAUGUGGGAAUUGGACUGAAUGAAUUCCACGUGCAGACCUAAAAAUUAGGUUGCACGUGAGGGGGAGUGUUGGAGAGGAAAGAUCCCACAUCAAAAAAGGGACAAAUAAAAUACAACUUAUAAGUGGAUGGAUCAUAUCCAAUUGUACCGAGGCCUUUUGUAAUUAAAACCCAACACCUUAAAGGUGGUUAAGUUGAGACAAUAUCGGUACAAUGUGAUCCACGGGCCACGCUUGUCCCUGUUCUAGUGUAAUGCCCAUCUGACGAGGGUGACAAUGAAUAGAAAUCCGGUUUGAGGGAGAAGAUGACAGACCAGUUGAGCUGUGUUGAGGUUGGUUGGAUGCAUAGGCAUGAAGAAUGUUAUUAGUAGAUAGAAAGGAACAGAAGAAGAUCAGGAAGAGAAAGAUUCUGCCCUGAGCCAUUGCCAUAUCUUCGUUAAAGAAUGUUAUGAUUUCUCACCUAGUAUUGCAGGCUAUUUGUAUACAUAUUCACGAACAUAGGUUGCGAGAUAAUUAGUUAGAUGAGGAUUAUUUUGAUGCAAUUAAGUCAACAGAAAAGGCAAUGAUAUAUCUCUCUGGUCCAAGUUAAUUAAGCCGAUUGAGACACGGCCAGAAAGUCAAUAACCCAAUCUGACUGGCAUUACAGCUUUCGUUAUAGUUAAGACAUAAGAGAGAUCAUGGACCUUCGAACCAAUGUAAACGAAAAUGAAAUGUAAUGAGAGUACAUUGUAGUGGUGUAUUGUAAAGAUGCUAGCUAUAGAGUUUAGGGUUUGGAUCCUCUUACCUGUACGUAGUCUACAGGAUAAUUGCCAUGUUAUUAGUUGUGAUUUGUAUAUAGAAGAAGACUGCAGAAGAAGUUUGAGACAAACAACUUUGAAAUGAUUCAUAUACUGCCUUUCGGUCUAGCUUCCAUUAAGCCUGCUCUUCAUCCUUGUAGCUAUCAUCACAUAGAGGCUGUCGUAUGCAUUAUUGAGGAAUCGGAAAUAAGCAUAUCUCCAGGUCUUGAUAAAAAUCAAAGAACCACAUACUGAUCAAAAUCCUACGAAAAACUCAAGCACAACAGGAAAUAUAAACCAUGGAACCUGAUCCUCACUGUUAUCAUCUCCAUCAAGACCAUCAUUUGGGAGUGGUAGUUGGCAUUCAUUU
rnacentral:lncRNA from 1 species